rnacentral:lncRNA from 1 species
UGAGAUGGUGUCGGGCGGUGGCGUCGUUCGUGGUACUUUACCACAUCUGUGGUGGUGGUGGCGGUAUACGGUGGUGGUUAUAGUCGUGUUAGCGAAUUUGCGAACUUGUUAAGCUUCUGUUAUUUGUGUCGAGCAGUGUUCGAACUGCUUAUUACUGUGGUCAUAGUAUUGUUCGGUUGUGUUGGUGAAACUUCGUCAGAUAAAAUUGCUAUUUUAUAUAUGCGUGAUAUUUGGAGUCAUUUUAUGUCUGCUGCUGCCUCUACAAGUAUAUUUGAUAAUGGUGUUUGUUUUGCAAGGUGGAUUUUUUUUCCGGUGCUAACUACUUAUGCUGAAACUUACCUGUGCUGAAAAUUUAUUAUCAAACUCAGACAGAUAGUUGCAGCAGCUGCUUUAUUUUUCCAGGCUGCAUCUGUUUUUCAACCCGGACUGCAAAUAGGGGCUUUUCAUACUUUGUUCAAAAGUACUCCGUAUCUGUUUUUCGAGUUUUACCUGAAGGAAUAAGUUGCCAUGUGCUCUUUGUCCGUCAAAGAUUUAUCCAAGGGGAUUGUUGAGAUCAUCCACCGGGAUGAUUUGAACACGGCCUCUUCUUCCUGCGGCAGCGGCCUCACACGUCUCACUGCCGCCGCCUUCGUCGAAGCUGUACCGUGGCCGUUGCCAAUGGCUUAGAGCUGACCAGGGACAGAGCCGGCGGAGGCCGGCCGCUGGGAGUGCUUUUCUUGUUGCUGCUGUUGCUAUUGGGGUGGAGCACGAGACUUCAAAAAUUACACUAUAUGCUACUAUAAUUUGAUCAAAACAUCAUCAAUAUAUCAACUAAUAGUCCCAAAAUAACUGUACAUAGUAAAAACUAUAACUUUCUUUGUAAAGUAACAUAGACUUAAGAUGAAGUAACAUCAGACUUUAGAUGUACAGAUGGAGUAUUUUGCAUUAUCGUAGUCGGCUAUGAACGAUGUAGCCGUUGCCUCCAUUGGUCUUGAUCCUACACGCAGUUUGGUAAUUGGACAACCUGAUGUCUGGCUGCGUCUCGCCCGUGUUCUUUAAUUGUAAAAUGCUGGUGGGAGCCGAAUGCUUUUGGGCGUAUGCACACCAUGUUCGGGGGAGUCGUGGGAUGGAAAUGGUUGAUGAUGCGUUAGUUGUCAUCACUCAUCAUCAUCAUCAUCAUCGUCACGGUGAUCGUCGCAAAGGUUACUGUGGCCAACGUCACAAUCAUCCCUCCCCAUGCCAUGACGAGCGCAAUGCCUUGCCUCGAUGGUGUUCUACGUGUCGUGGUCCGGACCGAAGCUCUGUGUUGUCACACCGUAUUGCCUAGAGGGUGUUCCGUGCAUUACGGUUCCACCCAAGUCGACCAUGUACUGGCCCGACGGGCACGAGGCUCCGAGUAGGUGUAGUUACACUCUUUGGCGUGUUGGUUUCCCAGAUGGGGAAGAAUGCCGGCUCCUCGUGCUCGUAGUGGAAUAUGCGCAGCCAUUGCUGAUUGCAACUUGCUUUUCUUAAGACAACACAAUCGUAUAUGCUCACAUACACUCCCUAUGAACGCACUUUGAUUGAAACUUGCUGGUGAAUCUCUUUUGCAUCAUUUAUACCGUCUUACAUUUUCCUUUGCGUCGGUUAUUUAUCUUUAGCAUGUAUUAUGCAUUAAGAGUUUUUUUUAACAUUAGUACAAACAUAAACGCUCAUAUACACGCGCAUACACUCCCCUGUGAACGCACACACGCACACACUACCUCUAUGUGCAUCUCCAAAAGACUGAGCCGUCAUAGUUGUCGACGGGAACGCCUCCUCCCACUGAAUGCGCAUCACGUGGAAGUCCUAAAAUAAAUCCAGAAAUAAAUGCGAGCACCAGGAUUUGAACCCUGGUAGGCAGGGAUACCACAGUCCAUUUAACCAUCCAACCACAUGUUGGUUCGCUAUUAUACAUUAAGAGUUAAUACCACUGUUAGUACAUAAACUUGUACCCGAGGAAACAAAAUGGUACAAGAACAUAAAACCCCCAUAAAAGUAGCCCUUUUUUUUUGAAACCUCCGCUCUCCGGAUUUUAUUCAUUCAGCGGUAGCAAAUCUGAGUGCACAGCGCAUCUCAGAAAUCCAGGGAUUACAUUAGAGUAGGUAGUAACAUUCUCUACCAAUAAAGCUUCCUUAGCACAAGUAUGAGCAACAGAAUUUACUAGACGGCUAGCAUAACGAAGCUGAAAUCCCUGAAAAAACGGCAUCUCCUCCUGCAUCUCUUGAAAGAUAUGGAACCCCUUCGAUUUACCUCUCAGCCUUCCUUCCCAGAGCUGAACAACAUUGAGGCAAUCUGUCUCGACUAUCACAUUCUGAUAGUUCUUCUCCCUCGUAAGCAAGGUAGCAUCUCUGCAGGCCAAAAUCUCCACAGUUAGGGGAUCAACCACCCCUUGGUAGCCAGUGCACCGCGACACUAGCAGGUUGCCUUCACUGUUACGGGCAACUACGCCUGUGCCACCUUUUGCGCUAGCCGUGUCGACUGCGCCGUCAACAUUCAGCUUGACAACCCCGGUCGUCGGCGCCUCCCAUCUCUGCUGCUCGUGAACAGCCGUAGUAUGUGUCGUGGGGGGAAGCUCCAGUGUCCUCACAAUUUCAAAAAUGACCUCCAUGGAUCGCUUGGGUUGAUAUCUUUCUUCAUGGUGAGUGAACCUGUUCCGGCUGCUCCAAAUAGCCCACAUCACCGUUAUGCCAAUCGCUGCAUCUUUCUUUGGUACCAACCUAGCAUCCAGCAAAUCAGUAGCCCAAGUGUGUGGAUGGAGUCGGGGCACCUUGACAGCAAAUACAGUUUCUGCCUCCACCCAAAACAGCUUGGCGUGAUCACAUGUUAUCAAACAGUGAUAGAGACUUUCAUCUCCGUUUCCGCGCAUCGGACAGGCUGCAUAAUCGCUCACAUGUCGUCGGUGCAGCUCCUGCAUACAUGGUAGCAUAUUUUUGACCACCCGCCACCAGAAGACCCGGAUCUUUGGCAGCACUUGUAGCUUCCAGAGCUCCUUCCACAUGCGAUCAGCCCCUUGAGAGCUGCCCUCCAUGGCCUGCAGAUUCUGUGUAUGAUCCAUUGCUUCUCGGUAGGCUGACCUUACACUGAAAACGCCAGAUUUCUCCCACGCCCACGCCCAAAUAUCCUCUCCACCCCGUCUAGGUCUCGGCAUAGCCAGUAUAGCUUCAACAUCUGGUGGCAGGAAUACUUGACGUACUAUCUCCUCGUCCCAUUUGCUAGUAUCCGAAUCCAAGAGAUCCCCGACCAACUGAACCGGCUCCUCAGUGAGCCUUCCUAGUGGGCGCAUAGAUCUUGUGCCCUCAAUCCAGUUGUCAUGCCAUAUCUCUGUUCUCGUUCCAUCGCCAAUACGUCGGAUGAUCCCUGUCUUCAGCAGCUCACGCCCACACAUGAUUGCCUUCCAAGUGCGAGAGGCACUUGCGGGGCAGUUCGCAGAGAGAAACUCACCAUCGGGGUAGUACCUCCCUUUCAGAACCCUCGCACACAAGCUGUCAGGAUAUUCCAACAGUCUCCAAGCCUGUUUGUCCAGCAUUGCAUCAUCAAAAACUUCCAAAUCCCUGAGUCCCAUACCUCCCUUGGCCUUUGGGAUUGCCAUUUUUUCCCAGGCUUGCCAGUGCAUUCCUCUUUUGUCAAGUGAUCCAGCCCACCAAUAUUUAGACAUAGUCUUCAUAAGUUUCUUGCAAAGACCUUUUGUGAGUUUGAAACAACUCAUAGAGUAGGUCGGUAGAGCUUGUACCACUGAUUUCAAGAGAACUUCUCUUGCUGCACACGUUGCCAAACGUUCACACCACCCUUGUACCUUCCCUCUAGCUCUCUCAUUGAGAUGCUCAAACUGUUGCUCUGUCAAUCUGCCCACAGCCGUAGGGAGGCCAAGAUAUUUCUCUGUGAAUGCUUCCCGGUGGAUGUUCAGUGUGUUCUUCACUCCUCUUUUAUUAGAAGCACCACAAUUCGGACUAAAGAAGACCGAACUUUUAGCCAAGUUGGCACUCUGGCCAGAGCCACUAAAGUAGUCUUGAAGGAUGGAGUUUAAUCUCAUAGCACUCCUGUGGUCUGACUUCAUAAAAAUCAAGCAACCAUCAGCAAACAACAAGUGGGAAAUACAAGGAGCUCUUGUACUGACCUGAAUUCCUCUGUCAAUCCAGCCCCCAUCAUAGUUUUUUAGCAUACAAGAUAAUCCUUCCCCACAAAGCAGGAACAAGUACGGGGAGAUUGUGUCCCCCUGCCUUAAACCUCUCGUAGGCCUGAAUGAGGGUAAUAACUCCCCAUUGACCUUUAUCUGAAAGCUCACUGUUGAUACACAUCGCAUAACCAACGAUAUCCAAGCUUCCUCAAAGCCUAGCUGCUGCAUCAUACCCUGCAGAUAAAUCCACUCAACAUGGUCAUAUGCCUUCAUCAUGUCGAUCUUCACAGCACAAUAGCCUUGCUUCCCCUUCUUCCUCUUCAUUGAGUGAACGCACUCGUAAGCCGUUAGCACAUUGUCUGUGAUUAGCCUUCCAGGAAUGAAGGCACUCUGCUCUUCUGCAAUAAUUUCAUCUAAGAUCUCCUUCUCCGAUUAGCUAACACUUUAGAACAAAUCUUGUAAAUGACAUUGCAAAGAGAGAUUGGUCUAUACUGGGUAAUAUUUUGAGGAUUCUUUACUUUUGGCACAAGUACAAUUACCGUUUUAUUCACAACCUCCGGCAUAUAGCCACCAUUUUAGAAACCGGAGACCGCCGCCGUCACAUCCUCCUUGAUGAGCUCCCAAUGGUGCUGGUAAAACCCGGCAUUGAAGCCAUCCACCCCUGGUGCUUUGGAAGGACCCAUUGAGAACAUCGCCGCCCUUACUUCCUCCGCUGAAAAAGGACGAAGGAUCCUAGCAUUCAUCUCAUCGUUCACCAUUGCCGGAACAUGGUGCAGUACCAUACCAAUAUUCGUAUCAUCUUGGGCCUGAUAUAAUCCCUCAUAGAAAUUCUGCACCUCCAAAUUGAUCUCUUCCUUCUGCACACACAAAGAACCAUCCGAUGCUUGUAAACACGUGAUUCUAUUCUGACAACGCCUUGCGGAUGCUUGGGCAUGAAAGAAACCCGUAUUGCGAUCACCAGCUUUAAGCCACCCAAUUCUUGAUCUCUGCCUCGCCAUGAUCUCUUGCUUGUGAAGCAAAUCUGAAAGUUGUCUGGCCAGCUCUCGCUCCUUAGCCGAGGGACCACGGAACAGGGAUCCUUUCCUCUCUUUCUCAUAGUCCCUACGAAUUUUCUUGAUCCUGCGUUUGAUGUCACCAAACUUCUUAUCUUUCCAGCUCGUCAAACUUCCUUGCAUUUGCAUUAAGGCCUCAUUUAGCCCCAGCAACCCAUCACUACCUGCUCCCUUCCGCCAAGCUCCUGUCACUUCCUCCUCGUAAGACUCCUCCUCAUGCCAAGCAUCUUCAUACCUAAACUGUUUCGCUGCUGGGCUCUCCUGCCCACUCAGAGAGCGGACCCUUGCCACGAGCAUACAGUGGUCUGAACGGGGAGACCACACAUGGCGUACAAAGGUGCCUGCAUACAUACGCAUCAUCUCGGGAUCGGCGAGGAACCGAUCCAGUCUAACCUUGACAUUAGCUUGGCCAUCUUGCAUAUUAUCCCAUGUAAACGACGUCCCUUGGAACCCCAGAUCAUGGAAACCGCAAAAAUCUAUGACUUCACAGAAGCCUUCCAUCUGCCACUCCGGGCAGUCAUGCAUACCAAAGUACUCAGAACCAUGGAGAAUUUCGUUCAUAUCACCACCACACAGCCACGGUAGGUCACUUUGGGCACACAACCAUCUUAGCAAUUCCCAACUAGCUGAGCGUUCCUUGCGUUUUGCCUUCGCAUAGAAACCCGUAAACCUCCAACACUUGUUAUCAGAUCCAAUAUUAGUAACUGUUGCAUCAAUAUGCCGAUCAGACCUUGUCUCAACUUUAACCUGCACUCCAUUGGACCAAAAAAAGCACCAAACCUCCACUAAGGCCCGCACUAUCAACUGAAAAACAGCCUUCAAACCCCAGUCUCUUUGUUAGAUCGGUCACACGAUUACCCUUGAUCUUUGUCUCACACACAAAAGCAAGGGCGGGCGCUUCUAGCCUCACCAGAUUGUGAAGCCCCCGAACUGUCUCCGGGUUCCCAAGCCCGUGACAGUUCCAAGCUAUUACAUUCAUUGUGUCUUGCGGGGCUGUCCAGCAGCCUCCGCUUCUGAAUUUGCCUCCUCAAGCACAUCCUUCUUCUUCUUCGAAUCCCUGCUAUCAUUAUCCGAUUCUGCCUGUUGUUCCUCACUAGCUCUUUUCUUAUUCAAGGUGUCUUGGUCCAGAAGCAUGAGUGCACCUGUGUUAUUUGUGUUCGUGUGAUUCAUAUCAACUCUUCGGUACACUCCCCUGCCUCUGUUGCCAUCCCUCCCAAAAGUACGCCCUCCACCCCGGGCUAAACCGCCUCUGCCUCUAGCAUUAAACUGAUACACUGCAUUCUGAACUCUGCCAUUUGUGUUUUUUGCCGGCGAAGUAGCCUCAUCUCCUUUCUCAACAUCAUCAUGUUCAACUCCAGGUUCUCCCUUGUCCUUCGGGCCAGUUUGGUGACCUUCAAAGCUAGCAGCAGGGUCACCCCAACCCUUAGCCCGGUACCCCAGGUACCUUAAAGAUUCACGAUACGGUGGUCUUCCAAACUCAUCUCUCCCAGCAGGAGUUGGUCACAUAGCUUCCGCAUGGCCGAGGAUCCCACACGAGAAAUAGAAGUACGGCAGGUUCUCAUACUGUAUGUCAAAGAAUUCUGUAGUCCCUUUUUUUGCCGACUCUAAACGUACCCAUCUCAUCACAGGUUCAUGCACAUUGAGCCAGAUCCUGGCCCUCACACAAUCACCAGCCGCAUAGCCUUUAGCGUCUGCAUCAAGCUGGAUGACUUGACCCACCAUUGCCGCAAUCCGUGCCGGCCAUAGAGGGCACAGCAGGUUGAACGGCAGGUUCACCACCCUUGCCCAAAUCCUUAUCUUGUCAAAACUGAGCUCUGAGGGACGUGGGGUGAUGUUGAAGAUCUCUACCACCACGCAAUGUUUGCCCACAGUCCACGACCCUUUCAAUACAAAUCAGUUAAAUUUAACGGCACACCGUCUAUCGCGUGCUAACUGCAGUAGCACCUCGCGCUCUCUUUCUCUGUUUGCCAGUGGGGCCCACUUGUAGGGGGGUUAAGAAAGAAAGAUAGGAAAUGAAAAACGAGCUCGUGGAGAUUCGAACUUCGGUUCUCUCGCGUUGGUGGUACACGCGUGAUAACCAGCCGACUCAAAGGCACCAUAUACUCGUAUACUAGUUUCUUAUGCAAAAUUCUUAAUUAUAUGGUUUGUAUAACCUUAACCACCGUGGAAAUCCGUUUUGGAGCUCGGUCUCCAGUGAGGCCUCCAAAUUCAAAUUUGAAAAAAACUCAUAUUUUUACAUUUUAAUAAAUUCUAAAAAAAAUACAGAUAUACAUGAAGGCAUAACACACACGUGUCUAAAUUUUCAGUUCAAAAUACAUUGAAAUGGGGGCUGUGCAAAAAAGACAAAUCUUGGGCUGUUUAACACAUGAUACUAUUUAUUCUCUCAGACCAUGAAUUUAUGUUUUUUGUACAGGUCACAACUCAAUAUAUUUCAUCAUGAAUUUUUACACACAUGUGAUCCUUACAUACACACAUAUUUUUUUUUCCAGAAUUUUUUGAAGCAUAAAAGUUUUAAUUUGAUUUUUUCAAAAAUAAAGGCCUCCAUGGAUUGGCCUCCGAAACGCCUUUCUCCUGUUUUUCAGACUACAACAAUUUCAGCAAUGGUUUAUAUAACUGUUUCAGUGAAUUCUUUACAUGCACAGAAGAAUUGGCACGCCGCUGAAGUACACUGCAAAAAGACUCACCAAACUAUAUUUCUUCAUGUUUGACAUCCAGUCGUUGUGGUAAGAGCAUCUACAACUGGACUUGGCAAAUCCAAACCCCCAAACACCCACGGACAUUGACCGGUCACGUCUCAAAUAAUGCAUUCCACAUUUGGAUACCUCAAAUCCAUAUUAUUACAUGCAACACAGUGAUCUUUGAGCGGAGCUCGUCUGUCUCCGUCGUGUCCAUGUCCGGCGGCCGGUUGCACUUCCUAGAGUGUUGGUCCAGUCGCCGACAAAGUAGAGAAGGGCAUGGGACACGAGCCGGCUCACGAGACUCAAGGCGCCACCGCCUCCCAUGCCCAACUCCUCCUCGUCGGAGCCCAGAACCUGAACGGUGUCGGUGGACAUAUGAUGGAUGAUGGAUCCGUCCUGGGACGAGCCGGCGACAUCCACCACGACACGGUUGCGACGCCCAGAUUGCUACACCACGGGGCGUCGGAGAGUGCGGCUCCGCCUCGCCAACAUCCACUGCCACGAGAACUACUGCCACCUCCUGCGCCCGAUGCCUCGCACGGCGGGCACGCCGUGCCAUGUUUCCGUCAAAUGAUGCUCAUGGUGUGUCUCGCUGCUCGGUGCGCCAACAAAGGGUUGUGCGUCCGCCACCAGGUUCGGACACCAGACGGACCGUAUCGCCUCCGGUGAGGCAGCGAUGACACACCUAUCGUCGGAUCCAUGCGCCAUUUGGGCGGAUGCAAUGAAUUCCUGAUGGAAGGAGUCCGAGCGCUGCCGUGCACGGACCUCCUCCCAGGAGAGGCGGAGCGCAAGCCGGACGACCAUCUCCUCCUUGGGACCGCAUGGGAUGAGCUCGGGGGCGACGAAUCUGGAAGUGAAGGACUCGGAUCUGCUGCCCGCCAUGCUGGAGACUGUCAGAGAUCGCCGGAGGUGAGCUUGAGUGGCGGAGGGGAGUGAAAUAAAGUGGCUAGGGUUUGGUCCAGCGAGUGAAUGGGGAGGAAUGUAUGUGGGGUCGGGUGGGCCAGCGUGGGCCGGGUUCGAUGUGGCGGACGCCUGGAUGCCCCAUACCCGCCCCAUAUUUGGGCUGGAUAUGAGGGGUGCCGGUUAGCCCAGAUGUUUGAGGCGUGCAUCUAGAUCGAAAUUUCGUGACCAAGCCGUUUGCCCACGUGUUUGAGGAGGAUUUGGGGCGUCCGGCUGUAGAUGUUCUAACGCAUGGGAAGAUAAUACCUGAUGUUCGUGGUUCAAGACCCCUCCUCCCGCUACAUUUCUUUCUAUUUAUUUCUCCGCAUCUGUGACAAAAUAUAAUAGAAUGUUUACCUGGGCAGGUCACACAAAUUCUUCUGGUUUGGCUCAUUAUCUCGCACGCCUGACUAGUGCAAGGUCCCAGGUUCUAACUUCCGUUGUUCUUUUCUAAGUCAAUAUUUCUUUCUCGCGCCCUCACUGGCAAGUGGGUCCCUCGCGAACAUGGAGAGGGAGAGAUAGCGGGCUACUGCUGCAGAUAACAUGCAAUUAACGCCGUCGGAUUUAACAAAAUUGUAUCUAAAUGUUCUGUUAAGCAAGUUGAAGGACUACUUUUUUGGAGUUUUUUAGUUCUUGUACCGUUUUGUUCCCUUGGGUACAAGUUUAUGUACUAAUAGUGAUAUUAACUCUUCUUUUAACAAGGUUUCCACAACAAUGCAAGGGGUAUUAUCUAGUUUCAAUAAUACUCGGAUAUGCCAUGAUACUCUAACAAAGAAUGUGAAAGAAGACACAAACAAAAUGAACAUAGCUAUUGUUGUAUUGCCAUGGUGUAAUUUACACGAGUGUGUUGUGGUACUAUCACAUAAAACUACAAAAGUUCCUCUACUUUCAGCCAUAGGUAAACGAUGGCUUGAAGUACAUGCACAUCGGUGGGUCAAUCCUCAUGAUGGACAAUAUUGCAGACGGGACACUCCAGAUACCAUCACCGCAGAUCAAACCAGAAGCAACCGCACCCGCAAACUCCUCUGCCUCCUUACGGUUCACCCUCUCCCAUACAAACAAGAUGACAGUUCCGAUAAACAUGUCAAUCGCGAAGUAUGCCCCAAUGUAAAAUGAGACGGCCAUGGCCAUCGGGAGCGGGAUGAAUUUGGAGAGACUGUUUGGGGUGACAUCCCGGAUGAGCUUGAUUGCUAUGGCUCCAAAGAAGAAGAAAGAGCAUAUUGCUAGGCAAUGUCGUGGCAACACUGAGAAUCCUUCGACACCCAUGAUUGACAUCUCACGGAAGAUGGCGGCAUAUGGAGCUUUGAACAUACCAUCAGGAUUGCCAAUAUCGAAGGAUGUCCAGUAAAGCCAAAAGGUUAGAGGAGCAAUGACACAACCAAGGGAAGUGCCAAUCAACUGUGACACAAACAUGGACCUUGGUGAUGAGAGGGUCAGGUACCCAGUCUUGAAGUCAUGCAUGAGAUCACCAGCUGUGGAUACGAUGGACAUCAUAACACCACAAGCUGCUAAGCCGGCGAUCACACCACCAUGUUGGCCAACCCAUGAGGCAAAAAUGAAAAGGCCAAUCUUUCCAUAUGUGAAUGCAAGGUUCCAAUCUGUUAGUCCAGUUCCGUAUGAGUUGCAGAAGGCAAGUAGAGGAGCAACAACAUAGGCAAAGAGGACAAGGUACCACUUGAGUUGUGGGAAUAUCAUUGGUACUGUUGUAGUUGAAAUUGCUGCAAGGCCCACAUAACCAGAUCCUGCCAACCAGGGAGGGAUACUGUCUUUUAGAAACACCUCAUUUAGAAGCUUUUCCUCGACUGAUAAUUUGGAAUCCUUAUCAUCUGCAAUUAUAAAAGGUAAACAAGAUGAGAUCCAUGAUGUAUGAUAUGAUGGCAGGUCAACUAGGUACAAUAAGAAAAUGGCAUUACCACCAUGAACCCAAACAAGGGGAAGUCUUCCUUGCUUUGAACGUGCAUUCAUUAUUUCCUUGAUAGUGGCAUAAAUGAUUUUGAUGAGGUUAAAAGUACCAUCACCAAGUAUCAAGGAUACCGAUAUGAAAACCUGGAAGGGUGCAUUGACAACUUAGUUUUUGCUAAAUAUAAUGUUGGCAAAGACUGAUCAUUAAGUGAACAAAGAAUAGUUCAGAAAUUUAAUGAUAUAGAUGAGCCAUUUAUUUAUUCUUGAACUCAGUUUCAUGGUUCUCAUGAAAUACGACCACUAUGCCCACUAAAAUAAAUGCAUAAAAGAGAGUUAUCUGUAUUAUUCGCAUAUUUACAAGAACUACUUGCAAAUUCACUGGGUUUAUUCAAUAUGGAGGGAAACAGGAGACUUUGGUCAAACCUUCUAAAUAUUGAUUCAUAAUCUAGUUCUUUUUCUUAGAUCGGCUCAAAACAUGGUACAAGAUCUGUUGGUCAACAACCAUCACAAUUGAAUUGGCAAAAGGCAUAAUCAAGAGACAACAUGGUAUUGACUAAUAAUUCAUUAUGAAAUGGACAAUUAGAAUCCUUCACCACCAUACCUUGUACCCAUAGAGUCCUCUGAAGUCGUUGCUUCCAAGGUUAGCUGGGUACCACUCCCCCGCUUUUGUCGAUAUAUAUGGCCAAAGAAAACCCCAGGAUAUGAUGGCUCCAAGAAGUGCAGAGCAAUUAACUAUAUGUGGACAUAUAAGACCACAUCCAAUAUAGGUUGGACUGAAGUCAAAAUAAAACCUAUAAAAAGUAGAAAUUGUAAGAUUCUGGAUAUAAUGCAUAUGAGUAUUCCAGCUUAAAGGAUAGUAGUUUCAUAUGUUAAUCCCUGCAUUUCCAAAUAAUCCCUAAUAAAGAGGAUAAGGAAGGCGAAUUUUUGUUUCGAUUUCAAAUAAAGUGAUUUGUUUUUAAAUUGUAAAAAUACACACUUCAAAAUUUUAGCACGAAAACAGUAGAAGUUAAUUAGCUUACGUGUUCUUAAACGCUGCAAGGCCCAGAGAAGGGAAGUUGUCGAAGCCACAAGAAUCCCCGACACCACUGAAGAACCAUUUAAAGCAGUUCCAAAGGAAACUUAUGCUUAAGUACUUUCCGAGACAACUAACUUGUUUUCUGCAGGCAGGGGAAUAAAGUUAGUACCACCAAAACUCAAGAAAUACAUUAACUCAAGAAAUGUAGUCAACAAUCAAACUGAUACAGAGACAUCAAAUUUGAUCCCUAGUAAACAUAUAGAUAAUCCAUGAUUUUAAUUAAAAACUGAUAAACUUGUUAUUUUCUACCUAUCAAAAGAUUCAUCUCCUGUGCAUAAUGUACAUGUUUACACCUCCCCCUCCCGCUAAAAGUAUAUGCAAUUGUGUAGAGGGAUAAGAUUGCAGAAUUCCUAGCCUUGAUUCAUCACAAACUAAUUGCGACCUGAGUAGAUCAGUAAAGCUUUAUUAUUGUUGAAUUACCUAAAAUGAAUUUGUUCUCUCAUGUACAUACUACUUGCCGAAAAAGGGUUUCCCCCCGCUUUGUAUACAAAGCAACCAACCAAGCCGUACAAGGAUAGGUGCUGGGGCAGAAGCAGCACAGUCACGCCCAAAAAAAACGACAGAGAAAGAGCAAAACAAACAAAUGCCGACAACGGCGGAUCAACAAAAACGAAGAAGCCUCGCGAACGCUGUGCCCACCGGGAUCUUCCACUAGGCUCCAAGACUCCGAAGCGCCAACACCUAUCAACACCUCCAAGAAGGAUCGCGACGAUGACGACGCUGCUGCCAAGGGUUUCCCUCGAUACACGAGGAGGCGAGAGGAAGGGUAGCCCCCGACGCCCUCCCGAAAGGUCAGCUGGCACCCACAGGCGCCACCGCGCCGGUGUCGGCCAAGCCGACAAGGGUUCCCCCCGAUCCCAACCCGCACCUCGGGCGCUCCGGAGCCAGCCACCAAACCAACCACCAUCCAGCGCCAACACGGUCAAGAGGCCCCCACGCCGUCUCACCACGACACCGCGAAGUGAGGACAACACGGCGAAGAAUCAGAGCCGAGACUAGGGCAGCAGCACCGUCGGCACGCGGGAGGGCCCCACCUCCACCGUCAGCGACGGUAGCCGUACGGACGCAAUAGCAGGAGCACACCAGGCCCGUAGGCCCACAGGCUCGGCCGAGCCCUCGUGGGUCCGUAAAGCUCCCGCCCUCGCGCUGCUGCUGGCACGCCAUCGGCGCCGCCGCUCACAUCCGAGCCGCUCCUCCUCCACACCGAGCCGCAGACAGCAAGGCCACGCCGGCGCCGACCCGCUAGGACCCAGAUGGGGCCCUAAGGGCCCAGAUCUAGGCCGGGGGCGCGCCGCCGGCCACCAGCGCCACCAGGCCACCCCGCCGCCAAGAGGCAGCGCCACCACCGCGCCGGCCGCCGGCCCCCGCCACCAGGACNNNNNNNNNNNNNNNNNNNNNNNNNNNNNNNNNNNNNNNNNNNNNNNNNNNNNNNNNNNNNNNNNNNNNNNNNNNNNNNNNNNNNNNNNNNNNNNNNNNNNNNNNNNNNNNNNNNNNNNNNNNNNNNNNNNNNNNNNNNNNNNNNNNNNNNNNNNNNNNNNNNNNNNNNNNNNNNNNNNNNNNNNNNNNNNNNNNNNNNNNNNNNNNNNNNNNNNNNNNNNNNNNNNNNNNNNNNNNNNNNNNNNNNNNNNNNNNNNNNNNNNNNNNNNNNNNNNNNNNNNNNNNNNNNNNNNNNNNNNNNNNNNNNNNNNNNNNNNNNNNNNNNNNNNNNNNNNNNNNNNNNNNNNNNNNNNNNNNNNNNNNNNNNNNNNNNNNNNGGAGGAGCCGCCCCAGCCGCCGCCCGGGGAGGCGGCGCGAGGCGGAGUCGGGAGAGGGAGAGGGGGAUUCUGAUGAAUAAUUUUCAUGUACAUACUACUUAAUUGGCCGAUAAACAAUCUAUAACGAGAAUUGUUCAAUAAAUGGGCAGAAGGCUAAUGUGCAAUUUCAUCAGAUUAUUAUGAGAUUUGGCAACCAUCAGUGCUUAGCAUAUGAAAAAAGGUCAAUUGGAAGACAAUUAAACUUUAAAUAACUUAAGAGUCACUAACAGUUGGGAGACAGUACUUAAAAUACUUAAGUCGCGGGGACCCAUAGUAAACUUUGAUGACCUGAUAUAAGCCGUAAAAGUACCAUAGGUCGAUAGAAACCACUAUUUUGAGUACUUAUUUAUAGAUUACUAAUUGUUCAAUUGUGCAACACUCUAUCAUAUUAAAUCCAUAUUCAUCCAAUCAUGCGACAAGAAGUAUCAGAGAGUCAACACUAACUGUCCCUCCAAAGUACAAAUAACUUACUAGUUUGCACAAAAUUAAGGAUCAGUGAUGAUAUGUUUCUUACUCUACUAACUCAUCUCCGGUAGCAGCGUGGACACUGUUUAUGAACAUAGCGGUGGCAGUUCCUCUGGGAUAGGUUAGCUUAUAGUUUAUCACCAUCACCUAGCAAACACCAAAACUGAACUUAGUUGGCCGAAUUUGCAAGGUGUUGUCCAAGUUGCUGCACUUGAUUAAAAAAAAUGUAGAUGUGAUCAACUAAAAAUGAAAGAUGCACAAACAUCUAAGAUGUGGAUGAUUACCUUGCGCAGGGCAACGAGACUAAAAAUACCAAUGAAGCUAACUACAAACAUAAACCCGAUCAUCCAACUCAGCGAGGGAUUCUUGACAUCCACUGCCCUGUUACCAGGAUAAUCAGUCCCGAUAAGCUCAUAAGUUUUUUGAUCCAUUGCAAGCAUGUACGAUCCGAAUCCUCCUGCACAAGUGGAAACAUUGAUUGAUAAUGUGAACAAAAUUAGGGGGAAGCCUAUCGUCAUCAAUUUUUCUCCCACUCCCAGGAAACACCAAAAUCAGAUAUGUACGCUGCAAAGUUAAACAUUUGUUCUAAGAAACGUAAUUGUAAAAAUGAACCUGCUAGUAACAUUCCUAAUAAUGCAAAAAAGGGAAGUAAAACAGAACCUGGUCAGGUUCUUUCUCCAAUACCUACCAAUGUUCCACCCAACCAAAUGUAACACCGUUGUGGCCCCCACCCAAAAGGAAUACACACAGGCAAAGGGCCACAGGUACUUAGCACAAGGCAGCAUCAGAAGUCCACACAUGAUGACUGUACUGAGUCAAGGAUCGCAUCAAAGCAAAAUGCAAACAUACCGCUGGUGGCGAGGCCGUAGCAGGCGACGACGCAGGUCUGGAUGACGGUGUUCUCCUGCUUGGUGAAGGGCUUGGAGACGACGCCGAACAUGCCCAGCGCCGCGGUCCAGGUCCGCACGAGGAAGUAGGCGAGCAGGCCCGCGGCGACAUUGAGCGAAGGAAUGAUCCCCACCGUGAGGUUGAGCUUGUGCGUGAUGAGGCAGAAGAGCACCCCCAGGAUGGCGCUCACCACUACACCCCGCACCGUCAGCUGCUCCCGCCACGGCGGCACCGCCUCCACCGCCGACGGCGCGCCGGCAAGGAGGGGCCCGGUCAUCUCCGCCGCAUCCGCCUGCAUUCCCAUCUCUUGCGGACGCUAGUGUCAAGCCAAUGCCUCCCUUCGCCUCAGACUUUGGGUGCUGGUAGACGAGGUCAAGGUGAGGCACUGAGGAUGAAUGAAUUGGCGUGGAGGACUAGGUAUUUAAAGGGCGUAAACUGAAGCCUAGCACACGGGAACGUACGAUGGCUUCAGUAUGUUCAUGCAUCCACACUAUGACACGCGUACUCCUACCAUGCAGACACGUAGCAGGCCAGCACGGUCAUUAUCUUGGCAGAGGAUCGGGACAGGAAGAGCAGCGUGAAUCAUGCUUGUCCUAGUAACACGCGGGUAGUGCUAGCUAUCCGGCCACUCGUUGUCUAGGUAACGGUGGCCACACAUUUCUACCGCUUACGUGCUAAUUUGAUUGCGUGUGCCCGAUGAUUAAGCGUUAACAAUAUCUGCUGGGGCCGUGUCUAAUGGCGGCCACGAAUGUACGGCCUCCCCAACCAUCCCUACGCCUGGAUUAUAUACUGUGGGGCUGGAUGCAAUGGUAACCACAGAUCAUGAUAUGCAUUAGGGGUUAAUUUUUCUCUUGUAUACUAUAGAAAGGAAAAGGGAGGAACGUGCAUGUUGUAGUAUUUGAUUUGAUUUGGUCAUGCCAUCGAUGCGAGCAAGGUAGGUGGGACGUGCAUACGCACGCCAGUUUGACCGUUUGGCUGAUGCUUCAUGUCACAUGUCAUCGUUUGAUGUCAAAAUGAACGUAUAGAAAAUUGUGUUUCAUAGCUUUUCAGAGGAUUUUUCUCAAUAAUGAGAACAACUAAACAAAGAUAAGUUGACACAUCCAUGAAAAAAGGAUUGCUCGAGAAUCAACCUGUGCUUGGACGGUUAGGUCGACAGUGGUAUCCCAGCCCAUCAGGGUUCAAGCCUUGGUGCUUGCAUUUAUUCAUGGAUUUAUUUCAGUAUUUUCGGAGGAGACGUUCCCGUCGACUAUGAGGCUUCUUUGGUGACUUUGUCCAUCUCAAGAUGGCUCAUAGGGGUAUGGUGUGUUUGUGUGUUCAUAGAGAUGAGUGUAUGCGCGUAUAUAUGAGCGCAUGCGUCUGUAUUGUUUUAAAAAAAGAAUUACACUGAUUAAACCAAGACACAACUAAUGAACAUAAUUAAUCCCAUGUACUAUAAUCCAAACUGGAUUGAGCUAAUCAACCCUUUUUCUGGCACUAUUGUCGGGAAUUAUGCGCUUCUAUGGUAAGGUUACUAGAGUUACAUGUUAUUUACCUCCAUUUUUUGUUUUAUUUCCUUUGUUGUUCCUUUAGUGUACUUUUGUAGUCAAUGAAAGAUACCAAAAACAUGGGAGACAUCAACAAGAAGCUUGGAGAGUUUGCUACUCCCAAUGAUGAGUAACUGCGUGCACCUAUAACUCAAUCUACGUUGUAGCCGAAUAAAAUGAGAUUAAUCCACACUUGCUUGGGAACGACGUUUUGGCUCCGGGAGCACAUGCUCCCGGGUGAACAGUACCCUCAAAAAAAGUAAAUGUUUUCAAAAAAUUCUGAAAAAUUUGUAGAUGAUUGUGUUGGUGUCGCAAGCAUGCUUGACAAUUUUCAUGCGGAACAGAGCAGCGGUGUUUCGCCGGUGAAAAAACAAAUUCGGGUGACAUUUGGUCUUAGAUUUUUUUUUGCGCAGGCCAAAAUGCUUAACCUUUUUGCCUCAAAAUUUAGAGGUAGUAUUUGUAUAUGACAAAGAUAGCAAAAAAAUUGUCUCAAUUUUUUUGACAUUUGAAAAAGAAGCCAAAUUGAAUUUCUGCACUUGCUUAAUCUGGUCCAAGAGAACCUAUUCGGUGGUUCAGCCAUAUAUGCAUCUACAUACUUCUGCAGAAAUAUAUGAUAUGAUGCCCAUUAAGGAUGUUGAGUCUGCCAUGGAAAAAUUACGCCUAUUUCCUUUUUCAUUUAUAGGAGGAAUGGAAAAACGGUUGCUUCCCUUACCUAAAGACACCAUACUCUUUGGGAAGGCCAUUGCAAUUUAUUCAUGCCUAAAUAUUUUCCAUCUGCCAAAGCUAUGCAGCUGUGUGCUAACAUGAUUGGUUUUAGACAUGAACAUCGCGAGUCACUGGUGCUUGUUUGACAGAGAAUAAAGAAUCCAUUAGGAAUUGUCCUAACCAUGACACUGAAGAAUGACCAAUCAUGUAUUAUAUAAUGCUCCUAUUUUUUAACACGGUACAAUCGCAUAUGCUCACAUAUACGCACAUACACUCAUUCCUAUGAACGCACUUUGAUUGCAACAUGUUGGAGAGUCGCUUUUGCAUCAUUAGUACCGUCUUACAUUUUCUUGUGCAUCGAUUUUAGUUAUUUUUAGUAUAUAUUAUGCAUUUCUUUUAACAAGGUUUCCACAACAAUGUGAGGGGUAUUAUCGAGUUUCAAUAAUAGUCGGAUAUGCCAUGAUACUCUAACAAAGAAUAACAAAGAAGACACAAACAAAAUGAACAUAGGUAUUGUUGUAUUACCAUGGUCUACUUUACACGAGUGUGUUGUGGUACUAUCACAUAAAACUAAAAAAGUUCCUCUACUUUCAGCCAUAGGUUAAAGAAGGCUUGAAAUACAUGCACAUCGGUGGGUCAAUCCUCAUGAUGGACAAUAUGGUAGAAGGAACACUCCAGAUGCCAUCACCGCAGAUCAAACCUGAAGCAACCGCACCCACAAACUCCUCUGACUCCUUACGGUUCACCCUCUCCCAGACAAACAAGAUGACAGUCCCAACAAACAUGUCGAUCGCAAAAUUUGCCCCAAUGUAGAAUGGAACAGCCAUGGCCAUCUGUAGUGGGAUGAAUUUGGACACACUAUUUGGGGUGACAUCCUGCAUGAGCUUGAUUGCUAUGGCUGCAAAGAAGAAGAAAGAGCAUAUUGCAAGGCAAUGUUGCGGCAACACCGAGUAUCCUUCGACACCCAUGAUUGACAUCUCACGGAAGAUGAUGGCAUAUGGAGCUUUGAAUAUGCCAUCAGGAUUGCCAACAUCAAAGGAUGUCCAGUAAAUCCAAAAGGUUAGAGGAGCAAUGACGCAUCCAAGGGAAGUCCCAAUCAUCUGUGACACAAACAUGGAGUUUGGCGAAGAGAGUGUCAGGUAGCUAGUCUUGAAGUCAUGCAUGAGAUCACCAGCUGUUGAUACUAUGGGCAUCAUAACACCACAAGCUGCUAAGUCGGCGAUCACACCACCAUGUCUGCCAACCCAUGAGGCAAAAAUGAAAACACCAAUCUUUCCAUAUGUUGAUGCAAGGUUCCAGUCUAUUAGGCCAGUGCCAUAUGAGUUGCAGAAGGCAAGUAGAGGAGCAAAAACAUAAGCAGUGAGGACAAGGUACCACUUGAGUUGUGGGAACAUCAUUGGUACAAUUGCAGUUGAAAUUGCUGCAAGGCCCACAUAACAAGAUCCUGCCAACCACGAAGGGAUACUGUCUUUUAGAAAGACCUCAUUUAAAAGCUUUUCAUCUACUCAUAAUUUGGAAAUAUUAUCAUCUGCAAUAAUAAAAGGGAAACAAGAUGAGAGCCAAAAGACAUGAUAUGUUGUUAGGUCAACUGGGUACAAUAAUAAAAUGGCAUUACCAUCUUGAACCCAAACAAGGGGAAGUCUUCCUUGCUCUGCGUGUGCUUUCAUUAUUUUCUUGAUGGAAGCAUAAAUGAUUUUGAUGAGGUUAUAAACACCAUCGCCAAGUAUCAAGGAUACAGAUAUGAAAACCUGGAAGGGUGCAGACACAACUUAGUUUUUUGUAAAGAUAAUGUUGGCAAUGCUGAUCGUUAAGUGAACAUAGAAUAAUUUUGGAAGUUAGUGACCUAGAUGAGCCAUCUAUAUAUUCUGAAACUCAAUUUAAUGGUUCUCACGAAUUAAGCCCACUAAAAGAAAUAUAUAAAAGAGUUAUUAGUAUUACUUGCAUAUUUACAACAACAACUUGCAGAUGUACCGGGUUUAGUCAAUAUAGAGGAAAACAGGAGGCUUUUGUUAAGCCUUGUAAAUAACGUUUCAUGAUCUAGUUCCUUUUCUUAGACCGGUUUAUAAUAUGGUUCUAGAUCGGUUGGUUAACAACAUUGUAGUCAAAUUGACAAAAGCUGUAAGAAAGAGACAGUAUGGAACUGACUAUUAAUUCAUUAUGGUAUGAACAAUUAGAAUCUUUCGCCACCGUACCUUGUACCCAUAGAGUCCUUUGAAGUCGUUGCUUCCAAGGUUAGCUGGAUACCACUCCCCAGCUUUUGUGGAUAUAUAUGGCCAAAGAAAUCCCCAGGAUAUGAUGGCUCCAAGGAGUGCAGAGCAGUUAACUAUAUGUGGACAUAUAAGACCACAUCCAAUAUAGGUUGGACUGAAGUCAAAAUAAAACCUAUAAAAAGUAGAAAUUGUAAGCUUUUAGAUAUAAUGCACACAAUAUUCCAGCUUAAAGGAUAACUAGAUUCAAUCCCAACAUGUCCAAAAUAACUCGUAAAGAGGAUAAGGAAGGCAACUUUUUGUUCCAAUUUCAAAACAAGACGAAUCUGCUUUUAACAUGUGAACUUUGUAAUAAUAUCACAGACACACUAGCGGCAAGCUUACGUGUUCUUAAAUGCUACAAGGCCCAGAGAAGGGAAAUUGUCGAAGCCACAAGAAUCACCAACACCAAUGAAGAACCAUUUAAAGCAGUGCCAAAGAAAACUUCCGCUCAAAUACUUUCCAAGACAACUAACUUGUUUUCUGCGGGAACAAAAUUAAAGUUAGUACCUCCAAAACUCAAAAUGCAGUAACCCAAGAAUAUGUUGUCAAAAUGAAAUCGAUAUAGAGGAAUCCAAGGUCAUCCCAAGCAAACAAAUAGAUAAACCAUCAUUUUUAGAUUAAACAUAUAAACUUGCUAUUUCGUACCUAUUAGAAGAUCCACCAUCUGUGCAUAAUGUAGAUGUUUACCCUCCCUCCCGCUAAAGUAUAAGCAAUUUUGUAGUGGGAUAAGAUUACAGAAUUCCUAGCAUCAACUAAUUACAAACUAAUUGCAAGCUGAUUAGAUCAUUAAGACCUUAUUGUUGUUGAACUGCCAAUAAUAUUUUUCUUUCCCACAUAUAUACUAAUUAACUGGCCGAUAAAUGUUUUAUAAUGAAAAUUGGUCGAUAAAUGAGAUUUUUUGUCCAAAUAGUCGGUGGACUUGUAUAAUAGUUAGAGGGCUAAUGUGCGACUUCACUGGAAGAUCAUCAAAGUUUAAAUAACUUCAGAGUCACUAACGUUUGAAGAUGGUACUUUAAAUACUUCAAAUUGACGGGGAUGAACCUAUAGUAAACUUGGAUUACCUGAAUGCAGUGAAACUACCAUAGGUCAAUAAAAACCACUAUUUUGAUUACUCAUUUACAAACUACUAGAUGUGCAAUUGUGCAUCACUCUAUGAUAUAAAAUCCAUAUUCAUGCCAUCACCAGACAAGAAGCAUCGCAGAGUCAACAAUAAUCAUCCCUCGAAACUAUAGCUAACUUAGUUUGCAAGAAAUUAAGGAUUAAUGUUGAUAUGUUUCUUACUCCACUAACUCGUCUCCGGUAGCAGUGUGGACGCUGUUUAUGAACAUAGCGGUGGCGGUUCCUCUAGGAUAGGUUAGCUUAUAGUUUAACACCAUCACCUAGCAAACAUCAAAACUGAACCUAGCAAACAUUUGAUUGAAAAAAGAAAAUAAGUGUAAAUAUAAUCAGAUAAACAUGAAAGAUGCACGCAUCAAAGAUGUGGAUGAUUACCUUGCGCAGGGCAACGAGAAUAAAAAUACCAAGGAAGCUAACUACAAACAUAAAGCCGAUCAUCCAACUCAGCGAGGGAUUCUUGACAUCUGCUGCCCUGUUACCAGGAUAAUCAGUUCCGAUAAGCUCAUAAGUUUUUUGAUCCAUUGCAAGCAUAUACGAUCCGAAACCCCCUGCAUCAACGGAAACAUUGAUUUAUAAUGUGAACUGUGUGAAAAGGGGGAAGCCUACCGAUUGUGACCAAUUCUUUCAUUCCCAAGAAACAACAAAAUCAAAUAUGCAUUUUGUAAGAAAGUUAAAUGUAAAAAUCAACCUGCUAAUAACUUUCUUAAUAAUAUACCAAGAAGCAUGGCACUUAAAUGCAAAGUCCACACAUGAUGACUGUUUUGAGUUAUGCAUCAAAGCAAAUCCAAUCAAACAAUCCCAUAGUCACCUAGCUAAAUGCUCAACUAAAUUCCCCCACAUAUGGGCACAUACCGCUGGUGGCGAGGCCGUAGCAGGCGACGAUGCAGGUCUGGAUGACGGUGUUCUCCUGCUUGGUGAAGGGCUUGGAGACGACGCCAAACAUGUUCAGCGCCUCGGUCCAGGUCCGCACGAGGAAGUAGGCGAGCAGGCCCGCGGCGACGUUGAGCGAAGGAAUGAUCCCCACCGUGAGGUUGAGCUUGUGCGUGAUGAGGCAGAAGAGCACCCCAAGGAUGGCGCUCACCACUACACCCCGCACCGUCAGCCGCUCCCACCACGGCGGCAUCGCCUCCACCGCCGAUGGCGCGCCGGCAAGGAGGGGGCCGGUCAUCUCCGCCGCAUCCGCCUCCGAUCCCAUCUCUCGAGGAUGCUACUACUCGGACUCGAAAUUUUGGUGCUCGCAAGAUUCCUUUAGGUUUAGUUUCGUAUUCUCGUGGGGUGAUCCAAGAGAGGCAGACGAGGUGAAGGGGAGGAGGAUGAAUGAAUAGGCGGGGAGGAGUAGUAUUUAACGGGCAGCACGACUACUGCUGCAGUGCAGAAGAACGUACGGUGGCUUCACCAUGUUCAUGCACACGAAUACAAUAGUUUCAGACACGUGCACCGCUACCAGGCAGCCACGUGGGGUCUACAGCGAGAACACCGUACCCAGAAGGCCAGCACGGUCACUAUCUUCGGUACUGGAAGGGCGUCGUGAAUCAUGCUGGGUAACGGUCAUUUUGCGGGCCACUCGCUGUCUAGGUAACGGUGGCCACACAUCUCUACGCUUACGUGCAAAUUUGAUUGCCAUCAUUAAGCGUUAACUACAUCUGAUGGGGCCGUAUCAAAUGAUGGCCACGAAUGUACAGUCUCUGGAACCACCCGUACGCCAGGAUUAUAUACGGUGGGGCUGGAUGUAAGGCUAACCACAGAUCAUGCCAUGCAUUAGGAAUUGGUUAAGUAUUUUUCUCUUAGGAAGGAAGGGACGUGAAUGUUGUAGUAUUUGAUUUGGCCAUGCCAUCAUGCGAGCAAGGUAGCUAGGUGGGCUAGCUGUGCAUACGCACAGUUUGAACGUUCGGGCUGAUGCUUAUGUCAGACGUCAUCGCUUGAUGUCGAAAUAUACUAUAGAAAAUUGUGCAUUUCAUAGCAUUUCAGAAAUUAUUGGCUUAACUAAAGAAAGAUAAAUAGACAUGUCCACGAAAAAAGGAUUGUCCUUUUGUUCAUUUAUACGUUAUAGAGUGAAUUGCAAAAAACAUCGACACUUCGGGCAAGGUUUGCAGGAACCACACAUUUACGAAAUUGUGUCCAAAACCAUUAAUUUUUCUCUCUAAUUUUUUGCAAAAAACACUAGUUGGACGUCUCUCCUCUCUGGAGGCGGAGGCGGACGUACCAUGGCCACCGGCGGACCGGGCGCCCCCGCCGCCGCCCGGGGUCCAGUCGCGCCCGUGUUCGGCUCCCGCGGCAGCUUGGCCGUGGCUGGCCCUCCGGCGCCGGCUGCUGCUCACGCCCGUCGUGCCCGUGUCCGGCUCCCGCGGCAGCUUGGCCGCGGCGGGCCCUCCGGCACCGGCUGCUGCUCACGCCCGUCGAGGCCGGCGGCGCCACUGCUCCCGCACGUCGCGCCCGUGUUCGGCUCCCGUGGCAGCUUGGCCGCGACUGGCCCUCCGGCGCCAGCUGCUGCACCAGAGACGUCCUGCUUUACCACCAUGACGUGGUCUGCGGCCUACCUCGUCCACGUCGUCGGGCUUCUGGUGGUGGUGCUGGUACAGGGCCGGACUCUCCGCCGGGGAGCAAGGACGGGUCGAAGCAGCCACCGCCGCGAGAACCUGACGACGAGACAGGCAACGGGGUGGGAGGUGGGGCUGAUCGCUUUUUUCAAUUUUGAACAGGGACUGUUUCAUAAAUCUGUAAAAAUCUACCGUCUAACACCGUCAACUGUCAACAGUUACGCCACGUCAUCAUUUAUGGGACCCAUUUGUCAUAAUGAUCAUUAAAACGGCCAAAGCCGCCAACUAGUGUUUUUUGCAAAGAAUUAUGAAAAAAAUUAGUGCUAUUUGGCACAAUUCCGUAAAUGUAUGAUUCCUGCAAACCUUGCCUGAAGUGUAGAUGUUUUUUGCAAUUCACUUUACGUUAUAUGGACUAGAAGCUUAGGGUGCGUUUCACGGCGCGGUGGAGGCUUUUAGGGUUUGGCAACACGCUUUUCACUGUUUUUUUUUCAUUGGAGUUAUCUCGCUAGAAUAUGUUCUCAUAAUGACCUACUAACAAUUGUAAUUAAGUUUGUCGGUGUUGGCGCAUUAUGCUAAAGUCAAUAAAUGCAUUUUUUUGUCAUCACCUAUUGAGCCUGCUGCUCCUCCUCCUCCUCCAAGAAAGAAAGUUAGGAUUCGUGCCUCUCGCCGGCGCUGGCGCAGGUCUGCCUCGUCUCCGGUGGCCCUAGGCCAUAGAGGCGCGGUGGAUCCUGGCAAGGCCGGCGGGAGGGCUCCGUUUUUAGUCAUUUUUUUCAAUCUUGUUAGGGUUUGUGUCCUACCCAGGAAGGCGAGAGGCGGCGGCUCCCUGAAGAUGGAAUAAAGGUCUCCCCGCCUAGCCCCCGUUCCGGCGGUGCGUCUAGCAUCGUUGGUGGGCGUGUGGAGGUGUGGCUUCGGCAGAUCUAUCUUUGGUGGAUUUGCUCGGAUCUCGUCGUUGUUCGUCUACGUUCGUGUGCCUUUGGUUUGGAUCCUUCCGAUCUACGUUAUUUUUCAUCGGCGGUGGUUGCUGUUCUGGGGUGCUGGUCCUAUGGGGCCUUAGCACGACGACUUCUCGACUGUCUACUACAACAAGUUGUGCCCGGCUCCGGCGAUGGAGGGGCGAUGACGGUGGCGCGCCUUCGGCUCGCUUCGUUGCUUGUAGUCGUCGCUAGGUGGUCUACGAAUCUGGAUGUAAUUUUUAUUUUUGGUAUUCGUUGUACUGCCAUGAUUGAAGAUGAAUAGAUUGGAAGUUUUUCCGAAAAAAAUAUAAAUGCAUAUUUUUACAAGGUUAAUGUGAUUAAAACAGUGAAAUUUAAUAUAAUUUAUGUUUCACAUAUGGAGGUUUCUCGUGUAUUUGAUAUUCUAUACAAUAUUUUCUAGGAAUCACCAUGGUGGUGGCUUGUUUGGCGGAGAGGCGUGGAUUUGAAAUUUCGGACAAGUCACAUAGAGAAAGUCCGUUGGUGGAAGGAUAGAGAAGGUGAGUGGUUUGUUGGGAUAUCUUGAACACAUGAAUAGCUAGCAUUAUAAAAGAUAUGUGUGCCCUCUAAAAAUAUAUCUGUACACUUGCCGAAAUUGUUGCUAUAGGACCCUUUGUAUUAGCAACUAAUGUACAUGAUUAUAUCAACCUAGCGGUGCCUUGCUCCACCGACGAGUUUGCCCGUGUAUUUGUCAUUUGAACCGCGCCACCAUUUGCCUCAUCAAUUGGUGAACUACUUGCAUCUGUAGUAAUUUUAUUUGGGGUUCUUGUGCCUCUCCUAGCCUUUUCAGCCCAGUUGACAAGGCCUUCAGUCACAUUUUCAUCAAAUAUAGUCUUCUUGAAGGAAUUCCCCAUCUACACCAAUAUACGAUGAGAAAAAAUCAGAAUAAAAUGAUAGAUAAGAAAUAUUUGUUUGAUCAUGUCAACAAAAGACUUUAAAAUGGUGCCAAUUUGUGAAAUCAAGCUUUGUAUUAAUCAAGAAUGGAUACUCAUCGGUAAAGUUCAAGUCAAAAAUCAUUAAGUCACAACAAAACUACAAUUUGUUCACUUUAUGAAUUGAACUCACAUGGGAGACGACGGCGUAUAGUGGUAGGGUGCUGUAACCACAAAGGACUUGGCAGAUUACACUGAAAUAAGUAAAAGUAAUGAGUAUGUUCUCAAGAUGUCUCAAUAUGAUGUUGCUGCUGCUGUGAUAUCUAUUGUACCUUAUGACAACUCGAGUAAUAACAUAUGCUGGUUUCCCCAUGAUGCAUGAUUUAAAACCAUAUGUCACCUGCAACAUUGAUAAAUGCAAGAGUUAGUUCUACUUGUAUUCAUUAGAUUCCUAUUUGAAACUAGCAAAUCCAUAUGUUAUAUUCUAUAUAAUUUCAUGAUUCUUAUGAUACUCUCCAAUACUUCAAGUUAAAUUAGGUUUUGUACAACCAGCUCACUUAUUGUUCUUACCAAGAGCCAGAAGAAAAAUGCAAUUUCAAAUGCAUUCUGAAAUAGCACGAUGUGGAUCAACAGAAGAACUAAUUUAGGCCGGUGGAACCAAAAGAAGUUAUCUGAAGGAGAAACUACUAAAUCCCCUCGAAUAGCCGUGUGCUUCUGGGCAACCUCAUAAGCCAAUUCCGUUAUGAUGUGCUCCAUCUUACUUCCUACCAUAAGUAACAUCUGCCAAACACAAAUACAGUAAGUUAAUGUCAUGACUCUGCCUUUUUUCUUUUGCAUCUUGCGUAGUUUGAAAGAUCAUUGUAGAAGUCAUAUGAAGGCAUAUAACUAAUAGUUAGUCCUUAAAACAUUUAGUAGAAAUUUCUUUCAUGUAUUUUUGCAUAGAUAGUAAAUCAUGUUUACUUACAAUGAAUGGAACCAAGGUGAUCCAAAUGUAGACAUACCACCCUACAAUAACGGUUAGACAAGAAGUGGGGUUACUUUUCACAUAAAAUAUAUUUUUUAGUGAUGGUAGCCAAAAUAAAAUAAGUAAAUAAAUAAAUAUCAUUUUGUGACAGUUUCACAAAAUAAGAGUUAUAUAAGUGGAUCAAAACUUUUGACAUUCAGUGAUACAUACCUUCAACAUUCAAUAGUAGGAAUAUCAUCAACAUGGCCCAAAGGUACCAACUACAUAAGCAUAACAUGGAUAUCAAUUUGCUAUUUUCUCCAUACGCAAUUGAUAUAGACAUAGCAAAUGAUUUAGACAAAGAUUAGGUAACACAUUUUGUAAUAGUAGCAUUGGGCACUUACCUAAUACCAACGACUUUCUUAAAGUCAACCUCCAAAGCCCUGAUCAUGUAACUAUAAAAGUUGAAUUUUGGUGUUCCCUUACAGUGUUUCUGUGAAAAGGAAUGAAGCACAUGUAUAUAAGUUUCUUCCACUAAUAGUGUAUAACGGAAAACAUACAUGUGACAUCUAUAUACCGAUUAAAGUGUAGGUUUAUUACCAUGAUGAAACCAAGUCUCAUUGUUGUGUAGUCCUCCUCGGUGACCGAUCCAUACAAUUGUUUGAAGAAGGAACGCUAAAAAUACGACGACUUAUCUUAUAGCCCAAUUGCAAAAUAAAGAAAUAAGGCAAUAUAUAUGUUUUGAUCCUUAUAGAACACAAGAAAAAAGAAAGUAUACCAUCCAACCAAAUAUCCUCGACCGUUUUCUAUGACCUUUGAAGUGGUCUUGAAUAAAUUUGAAUUCUUGAACAUGCUUGAUCAUUUGAGGUGCUGCAAGUUAAUUAGGACCCAACACCCGUAAGCAAAACACAUAACACAACUUCAUACAAUUGAAGAAAACUUGUGAAGUCAUCGUUAGCCGAACUAGGAAAUGAUUUGCAUCAUAGUACAUACCACUGCCAUUAUUUUCUUGGAUCUUGGUCUCCCAAUGUCGCCAAUUUCUCGUCUACACAACAAUUAACAUAGUAAUUAGAAAAAUCAUGAUAGACUAAUUACUCGUUACUAACAAACAUCUUGUCAGAGUUUUAGUUAGUACCUGUGCCAUUCCUAGAAGAACUGUAAUAGCACUGAGAAGGAAAUGGGUGACCGCCAACACAAAGAUAAAUAUGUGCAAUUGAUGAAUAGCGUCAGAUGAAAGUAAUGGAACUUUGUCCUGCAUGCCAAAUGCCAACAAGGUUGAACGGGUCAAAGACGGAAAACACUAGUAGAUCGACGAAGACGAAAGAAGAAGGAAAAGUAGAGCAUCACAGACAAAAUCAUGCACGUCCCAUGCCAGUUGAGCUGUAGUAUGUAGUACCUUCUUGAGGCAGUAUUCGUCGGAGGAGGAGGCUCCUCCAGCCAGGAGGCGCCUCGCCCCACCCAGCACGCCGGUGAACACGGCGUCGCCGAGGUGGUCCGUCUCGUGCGGCGGCGGCUUGCAGGGCUGCAGGUGGAGCAUGGCGCUCGGGCUGACGCACACCUUCCCCAUGGGACCCUGGAACACGGUGAGCAGCAGCGAGAUGAACCCCAGCAGCAUCAGCUCCUCCUUCACCUUCAGGAGGGCCUCGUACAGCGGCUUCUUACGGCUCCUUAUCAGCCUCUGCAAACGUGCGUCAGCUGAUGGUCAAUUGCCUGGACAGAUACGGCAUGCAGCUUCCUGGUCUCGCUCGCUGUGUGUGUCUCAUGAUGGACGCACGCAAGCACGUACCUUGCCUAGGCGGUGGAGCAAGCGCUCGAAGAGCAGGGAGAUGAUGAUCAUGACGGAGCAGACCAACGCCACGAUCCAUGUCGGCGUGUACUCGAGCGGCUUGGCCUUCCCUCCACCGCCGGCCAUGGCGCCCCAAACGUACUCGUCAAGAAUCAAGCCCACACCGACGCCCCUUGUCGUAAGAAUGAAGUGGCAAGCAAGACUGUUCUUGAUCAAUUUAUAGAUAGGGACGAAACUACUCGGUUACAUGGUGGUCAUCAGUCAUCACGCAUGACAAUAUUGACUUGGCACGAUCAGAGCCAUGAAUUACUAUUCCAAGCUACAUGUACACACAGGAAAAUAGUACUAAGAAACAACGUGCUACCUUCCUAAAUACUACUAGCAGUAUUCAUUUCUCGAAAAAUACCAGUACUACUAGUAUUCCGGUGGCAUAUGUCCCAUGCGGUCAAUUUUUCAUUUUUGUGCUGCAGUCUACGGUCCACCACACCACUCCACUAUUAACCAACGGCAAACUGGAAACUCGAAACUCGAAUAUUAAGGCCCUGUUCGAAGACCCGCCACUCCACUACCCCGCUCCCGGAGCUGGAGUCGAAAGGCACGGAGCUGGGAAAGAGAUGCUCAAGCUUCUAGUAUUUUUAGGAGCUGACUCGGAACAGGGCCUAAAACGUCUUAUAUCAAGUUAUGGAGGAAGUAUUUUUUAUUUUCUGAGAAAACACUAUUGGAAUAUCAUUCUCGGUUAAAAUAUACUACCAGUAUAUUUGCAUUCCCAAACAAACAAAGCAGAAAAUCAUCGUUCCAGAUUGGAUCUGCCGUCUGCGACGCGGCGUCUGCGAAAUCAAAGUCACGGCCCUCAACGUCGGACAGUGGAAGUCCGAAGCGUUUGGUUUGCAUCCACAUGCGUCCAGUUCAACUGGCCAGGUGCAGGUCCUGGCCUAGCUAGUGCGGUGACUCGGCUCCACCAAGUGGGCUUCGUGACGACCAGCAUGCGUUUGAAAAUGCACAUAUUCUAGACGUAAACACAUUCCUAAGCGUAUACCUUUCUGGUUAUUAUUUACACGAAUAUGCUAGUAAGUUGUUGAAGAUUACACAAGUUCAAAAUAUUUUUGAUUAUAUAUCUCUAUCUGCUUCAGAGGAAGUGUUUAUUAGGCGUAUUCGCAAAAAAAAGUGUUUAUUAGGCCGAGAAAACUGGAUUAAUCCCGCGGCAUCCCAUGGUGACGCUGGCACGUAUUUAUGCUAGACACUUGCCGGGCAUGGGAGGGGCAAGUGUCUAGCGUAAGUAAUGAUAUAUGACUGAUUGCAUCAAUCUAUGCAGAGAUGCGGGUUUAUCGCCAUUUCAAAAAUAGAAAAUAUCUCUAUUUGUAUGCCUAAUGAUCAGUUUACACUGAUAGUCGUCAAAGCUAGUUUGAAUAAUGUGAGCAUUCUACAUGGUCGUCUAUUAUGGAACGGAUAUACAAUUACCAACAAAAUGAGUUAUGAGGUGUGGAUGUGGCCCAUUAAAACAACUUCAAAAUUCCAAAGCAAGAUCUAGUCCCAUGUUGCUGAGGGAAGAAGGCGGACAUCAAUAUACAAGAUGAACCUCUAGCCAUGCACUAUAUUUUUGUAGACACAUGACAUGAAAGAAGCUUCGGGCAAGGAGAUACUUUAUUUUAUUUUCUGACGAGANNNNNNNNNNNNNNNNNNNNNNNNNNNNNNNNNNNNNNNNNNNNNNNNNNNNNNNNNNNNNNNNNNNNNNNNNNNNNNNNNNNNNNNNNNNNNNNNNNNNNNNNNNNNNNNNNNNNNNNNNNNNNNNNNNNNNNNNNNNNNNNNNNNNNNNNNNNNNNNNNNNNNNNNNNNNNNNNNNNNNNNNNNNNNNNNNNNNNNNNNNNNNNNNNNNNNNNNNNNNNNNNNNNNNNNNNNNCUGGUUUCAAACGCGCGUAAAGUUAACCUCUACACGGGAGGCAAUAAGGACAUCCUGGUUUCAAACGCGCGUCAAGCUAACCUCUACACGGGAGGCAAUAAGGUUUCUGUGAAGCGCAAUUGUAUGACUGCUUGCUGUACAUCCACUAUUGUUCACUGCGAUAAGCAUGGGUGGAGCUUGCACCAAAACGGCACUGUGGCUUUUCAAGACACCAAUAAACCCUUGGCGGUUUGGCGAUCGGGUUCUAAGAGGGAACUACUGGUGCAAUGUCCGUAAUGUUUCAUACCAUAAUUUGCCUGCUCUUAGAGCUAAUAAUUUGCUAUAGAUGAUACUAUUAGGUUGAUCUCUCUCCCGUUCGAACCCAACGGGUCGAACGGGCCCCUGACUCGCGCUCUGAUCGGGGGCGCCCAACCAAACCAUGGUUGGUGGGCCCCUGUGACCCGCGCUAUAUAAACAGAGGUGGGGGCCGGGGCACGGUUCACGAGGUUGAACGCGGCCACAAACCCCACCGACACUCCCUUCUGAUCUAGGGUUAGCGCGACGCUCACGGGAAGCUCCACCACCGCCGCCAUCUCUCUGCCAUCACCGGCCCCUACUUCACCAUGGCCGGCGCUGGAUCGAGUUCGUCUGCACCAGCAGAAGGUAGGUGUACCGGAAAGAUCUAGCCUACACGAUUCAAGUGGGUCUAUCAAUGGUAUCGGGCGAGAUCGGCGUUGGACCGUCGGAUCGCGACGGACGGUCCCGAUCGAAAACCUAAAGCGGCUGCGGGCCAUUGGGCCGAAAGAGCAGCUGUGAGCGCCGCCACGCGAGUUGGGCCGAGGCCGCCAGCUGCGGGCGCCGCCACACGAGCUGGGCCGAGGCCGGCUAUGCGCAGUUUUCCUUUUUCGUUUUUUUAAUAGUUCUAGUCCAGUUUCUGGGCAGAUUUUAAAUAGCUUUCCUAUGCAGUUUUUUCCAACGAAAAUUUUGUCUAGAAAAUAGAAAAGUGACCGAAAAAGUUUCUGAAAAUGCAAACAGAAAAUUUUCAGAAAAGAAAUGCUCAUGAAUUUUAUAUAGAAAAUAAUAAAGUUCAUGAAUUUUUAUUCGGUCAAAGUAAAAGUUUCUGUAGAACUAAAAAAGUUCGUGAAUUUUUAUUCACGUUUUCCGCUGCGUAAAUAAUUAAUACUCUUUUACAAAGAAAAUAAAAGUUUACAUAGUAUUAAGUUUUUAAGAGCAUGUUAAAGUGAUUAUUAAAAUGAAUAUGAUUAUGUUAUUUUUAUGACCAACGUUGUUAAUAACAUGAUCAUGUUUUAUUAUUGAAAUUUAAAGGUGCAUUUAUUUCUAAUAUUUUGCCCAACGGUAAUAUAGAUUUAAUUGCAUAGACAAUUGUAUGUUUUAAUUUGACCAACGUUAGAUUAUUACAUAUGAUUGUUUUAUUGAUGUCACUUAAAUUGUGAUUUCAGGAGGCUUUCACUUGAUGAGUUGCCUAAAAGAAGUUCCAACACUCAGAGGUGACAACCACACUGAGUGGAGGAAGAAAGUUGAACUGACAUUGUUUGUGCUGAUCUUGACUGGGUUUGUGGAGAAACCACAGCCGGUCAGACCCACAGAGCCAGUAAGAGAGGCCACUGAUGAUGAUGCUGCAUUAGCUAAAAAGAAGGGGGACUAUGCUCCUUUGGAGCAAUCCUACCUCAUAGAUAACCAAAAGUGGGUCAAUGCAAACAAAAAGUGCAUGGCUUUUAUAAAGAAUACAAUUGAGAGCGCCAUUGUGGGCUCCAUUGCAGAGUGCACUUCCGGAGGGGAGUUGCUUACAAAGAUAAAGAGUCAGUUCACUGGCUCUUCAAAGAUAUAUGCCACCCAGGUGUUAGAGCAACUGGUGACAGAACGCUACACAGGUGGUAGUCAUGGAAUAAGAGAGCACAUCCUCAGGAUGAGCAAUAUGGCAGCAAAACUCAAGCCCAUGGAUGCGGAUCUGGAGAUCAAACAAGCGCUCCUGGUCCACCUGGUCAUGGCUUCACUGCCAAAGGAGUUUGCAACUUUUGUUGUAAACUAUAAUAUGUCACCUGGAACAUGGGACAUUGAAAAGACAAUAGCAAUGUGUGUCCAAGAAGAGAACAGACUCAAAGCCGCACAUGGUGGUUCACUCAACUAUAUGAAGGAUUACAAGAAAAAGAACUACAGUCAAAACAACAAAAGUUCUCCUUCAAAGAAUGGAAAAGCCCCCUAUCAGUAUCAGCAUCAGCAACAGCCUUUCUCAGUGGACAAAGACACCUGUCUCCACUGCAAGCAGAAAGGGCAUUACAAGAAAGACUGCGUUGCUUGGCUGAAGUCAGUCAUGGCAAAAAGAGGUAACAAUAUAGUUUCAUUUGUAAAUGAAUCCUUGUAUAUAAAGUUUUCAAAUCCACUUGGUGGAUUGAUUCAGGAGCAACUGUUCAUGUUGCAAAUUCUUUACAGGGAUUCCAUUCGACGCGAACUACGCUAAGAAGCGAAAGACGCAUUGAACUGGCAAACGGAGUUGAAGCAGAAGUUGAAGCUGUCGGUGACAUCUCCUUGGAGUUAGUUGGCGGAUUCAAUCUUCUACUUAGAGAUGUUUUAUUUGUUCCAUCAUGUCAUAGAAACUUAAUUAGUGUUUCUUGUUUGGACAAAGAUAAUUAUGAAUGUUAUUUUGGACAUGGCAAGUGUGCCAUUUGGUAUAAUAAUGCUUAUGUGGGUGAUGCUUUACUACAUGAUGAGCUUUAUUUGUUAUCACUUCGUGAAAAAGUUCAUUCUGUUUGCAAUGUGAAAGAAAAUGUUUCCGCGUCGAAUAAAGAGCACAAGAAAAGAAAAAGAACAUUCGACUCAUCGAAACUAUGGCACUGUCGCUUGGGCCAUAUUUCGAAGGGGAGAAUAGAAAGAUUAGUCAAAAGUGAAAUUCUUCCUCCGUUAGAAUUUUCAGACUUAGAACAAUGCAUAGAUUGCGUUAAAGGAAAGUACGUAAAACAAAUCAAAAAAGGUGCAAUUCAUAGCACAGGCACACUAGAAAUCAUCCACAUUGAUAUUUGUGGACCAUUCGGUGAAAAGUGUGGAUGGAUAUGACUCGUUCAUAACAUUCACAGAUGAUUACUCUCGCUAUGGAUAUAUUUAUCCAAUCAAAGAAAGAUCUAAAGCGUUGGAUAAAUUUAAAAUAUUCAAAGCUGAAGUUGAAAAUCAGCAUGAUAAAAGAAUAAAGAUAGUUAGGUCCGACCGUGUGGGAGAGUACUACGGUCGGCACACUCCAUAUGGCCAAGUCCCUGGACCUUUUGCAAAGUUCUUGCAGGAGACUGGCAUAGUUGCCCAGUAUUCAAUGCCGGGCGAACCUCAGCAAAAUGGAGUAGCUGAAAGGCACAACCGUACACUUAUGGAUAUGGUGCGCAACAUGAUGAGUUAUUCCAACUUGCCAUUGAGAUUAUGGAUGGAGGCGCUUAAAACCGCCAUUCACAUUCUCAAUAGAGUACCAAGCAAGUCGGUGCCCAAAACACCGUACGAGCUAUGGACAGGAAGGGUGCCAUCCCUACAACACUUCAGGGUGUGGGGGUGCCCUGAUGAGGCCAAAAUGUUUAAUCCAAACAUUGGAAAGUUAGAUCCCAAAACAGCGAGCUGCCACUUCAUUGGCUAUCCAGACAGAUCAAAGGGUUUUCGUUUCUACUGCCCAGACAGAUAUACAAAGUUUGUAGAAACGAGACAUGCAGUCUUCUUAGAGGACGAAAUGAUGAGGGGGAGCUUGGUAGCUCGGAAAAUUGAUCUUAAGGAGAAGAGGGUGCAUGCACCUAAUCCGAUGAUCCAGGAGCCAUUUUCUCACUACCAGUUGCAACUCCACCCAUGACAACUAUGGGGGCAGACCCGGAACCUGUCCAACAGAGAUUUAAAGGAAAAUGUCUACAUGAAACAGCCCAAGGGUUUUAUCAUGGAAUGCAAGGAAAAUAUGGGAUGCCGCCUCAAGAAAUCCAUUUAUGGAUUAAAGCAAGCCUCUAGAAAGUGGUAUUUAAAGUUUAAUCAAACAAUUAAAAGUUUUGGAUUUAAAGAAAAUAUUGAGGAUAACUGCAUUUAUGCAAAGUUUAAAAAUGGGAAAUAUAUUUUCCUAAUCUUGUAUGUGGAUGACAUUCUGCUUGCUAGCAGUGAUGUUAGUCUACUACAAGAAACAAAGAAGUUCUUAUCCUCGAAUUUUGACAUAACAGAUCUUGGUGAAGCAUCAUAUGUUUUGGGCAUAGAAAUUCACCGAGAUAGAAACAAUGGAGUCCUAGGACUAUCGCAGAAAGCAUAUUUAGAAAAGGUUCUUAAAAGGUAUAAUAUGCAUGUGAGUAAAGCCAAACCUGCUCCUAUAGUUAAGGGCGAUAGUUUUGGGAAAUUCCAAUGUCCCAAAAACCAGUACGAGAUCGAUCAAAUGAAAGGAGUACCAUAUGCUUCGGCAGUAGGCAGCUUGCAGUAUGCACAAGUGUGCACUCGCCCUGACUUAGCCUUUAUCACCGGGGUACUCGGUAGAUAUCAAGAGAAUCCAGGCAUAGAGCACUGGAAGAUGGUAAAGAAAGCAUUGCGUUAUGCGCAAGGCACGAAGGACUACAUGCUAUCAUACAGGAGAUCUGAUUCCCUAGAAACAAAAGGGUAUUCAGACGCAGAUUUUGCGGGGGACAUAGAUGAUAGAAAAUCCACGUCAGGAUACUUAUUCAUCCUUGCUGGGGGAGCUAUUUCGUGGAAAAGCUCCAAACAGUCGACAGUUGCAUCAUCCAUGAUGUAUGCAGAAUUCAUAGCAUGCUUCGAAGCCACGGGGCAGACGAUAUGGCUAAAUAAAUUUGUACUCGACUUGAAAGUGGUAGAUUGUAUUCACAAACCACUAAAGAUGUACUGCGACAAUCAGCCCGCGGUAUUUUACGCUCACAACAACAAGUCGAGUAAUGCUGCCAAAACAAUAGAGAUAAAGUAUUAUGUUGUGAAAGAUAAAAUCCAGGAUCAAACUAUAAGUCUCGAGCAUAUAAAGACAAAAGAUAUGCUUACGGAUCCGCUAACGAAAGGCUUAUCACCCAAUGUGUUCAAGGAACACUUAGCCGGCAUGGGUUUAAGGGAAAGCCUUAUGAUUCCUGGAUAGGCCCAAAAGGAACAUAAUUUGUUUCUGAACAAAACGUAUGUUGUAGCUGAAUGAUUCUAUCGGCAAUUGAGCUGUGACGAUGAAACAUGCUCUAUGUACCAAUAUGUGAUGAAACAAAUAAACUAGAAAGUAUAAGGUUAAAAGUAAAGUUGAGAUCAAGGGGGAGAAUGUUAGGUUGAUCUCUCUCCCGUUCGAACCCAACGGGUCGAACGGGCCCCUGACUCGCGCCCUGAUCGGGGGCGCCCAACCGAACCAUGGUUGGUGGGCCCCUGUGACCUGCGCUAUAUAAACAGAGGUGGGGGCCGGGUCACGAUUCACGAGGUUGAACGCGGCCACAAACCCCACCGACACUCCCUUCCGAUCUAGGGUUAGCGCGGCGCUCACGGGAAGCUCCACCACCGCCGCCAUCUCUCUGCCAUCACCGGCCCCUACUUCACCAUGGCCGGCGCUGGAUCGAGUUCGUCUGCAUCAGCAGAAGGUAGGUGUACCGGAAAGAUCUAGCCUACACGAUCCAAGUGGGUCUAUCAGAUACUCCGUAAUCAGAUAAUCUUGGAUGAGUUAAAUAUCGCCUACAUUUUCAGAUGCAAAAUACAUAUGCUGGCUAGACUAACUUGGUCUUGAAUUUUCGUGUAGCUAAGGCCAGUCUUUACCUACAAAGCGUGUGGUUUGAAAAUUGAGAUGGAUUGGUCAUCGUCAACUACCAUGCAUGCACCUAGCUAGAUUUGGAUAUGGGUGAGGGUGCGUGGUGCGGGUUCGCCUGUAAUGAGAUAGCUGGUGAAGGUGCAUCUGGUGCGGUAGGUAGCAUGUGCAUGCAGCCACAAAAGAUUGUUAAAAUUGCCCAUUUGCAUGCCCUAGUUGCACACGACGACGACGUCCAUGGUUGUUGACUGAUAGCUAGCUACAUAUAAGACCAUUUCGAAAGGCAGCUACACAAAUGAUUGUAAGUGCCUUGAGUGCACAUUUCGUGGAUGGCUAACUGAUGACCAUAUAUUAGUGUGCGCGUGCAUAUACAUUAGCCGUCGAAACACGACUGGAAGGCGGCGAGUCUAGUCAACCGAGCUCUCUACCCGCUUCUUUGGACACGAGGCUAUGGCUUCGUGGAAGGUGCAUGCAUGCAUGCCAACCAGCCAACCAACCGAAGGCACACGGCAAAUCUGAGGCAGGAUGGUGAUUACUCCCUCCAUACAUCCCCUUUUAUCUAUUUUGAUGACAAGUAUUUUCGGAUGGAGGGAGUACGACGUUAAUUGAGUUUUACGUACUGAUAUGCCAACGUACGUACCCGUGGACCAUUCCAUCGGACAUGCACAUAGAUCAGGCACUCACCAUAUCACACAUGCCUUGCCUGUCCCACAAACGUGACGCUUGGGGCAUGUAUAGUGACUAAUAAGGCAUGUUAGCAAAAGUUCCAACAUACUUUGCCUAGUUCCAUCGAAAAACGACUCGGCGAAGAUAUUUAGAUGUAACGUGUUUGUCUAUUUAUACUUUGCCUAGUUCCAACGGAAAAUGACUCGGCAAAAAAAAUAAACCCGGCAGAAUCUCAAGUUCGCCGAGUUCCAGACCAAAAAAAGUCGGUAAAGUCUGAGAGGUGGGCCCUGCUAUAGAGCAGGCGACGGAGCCGUGACGACGUAUUUCUUUGCCGAGUUUCGGCUGACGGAGACUCGGUAAACAUUUUAUCCUUUUCUUAAAAAAAAUUGAAUUCCAGGGGUCACAACGUUGCCUGAGUCCUGGCUAACAGAGACUUGGUAAGCAUUUUAUCUUUUUCGUUUUUAUAAAUCAGAAUGCCAGGGGUCACGGCUUUGCCGAGUCCCCAAUAAAAUGAACUCGACAAGAUAUGACCCUUUGUCUACCCGGUGACAACAAUGGUUAGUCCCACCUCGCCGCGCCAGGAGCAACGUGACCAGCUUAAAUAGCUUGGUCGUCCAAAAACGAUUGUCUUCGGUUAUCAUUGUGCAGGAUAUGGACUGUCACUAUGAAUCUUCUCUUCUUAUACACAGAGAAGAUUCGUCUUAUGGGAAGAUCAAUAGUCACACUCCGUAUCCCUUUGAUGGCUGCUCCUUUUUGAAUCAUUUAAUCAAGUUCCAUUGGUCCAUACCGUCUCGUUUGGGUCGCUUUUUUUUACCGGUCACUGAUUGUGCCGUUCGCCUGGUCGUUUGAGGCGUCUGGUUGUAGAUGCUCUAAGAGGAUGUGUGAAAACAAAUGAUAAUUGUGAGUGUGAGAGAAGAAAGAGAAGGAAGGAUGAGACAAUCUAGAAGAUAACAUUCUAAUUUUGUAUAGAUAUAGUAUAUGCGUGUAAAGUUUAUAUAAAAAAGAUAAAUAUAAAGAAAAUGAAAGAAAUUUUAAAAUAAAAACAAAUUAUUAGUUGAAAAUUACACCUCGAAAUCUGAACAUAUGAUGGGGAGCAUUAAAAAUGAGACUCAUAAAACAGAAAAACGAUUUGAUAGCUUCAUUAGUGUAAAAAAACUUAGACUUCAUAAACUUUGUCUUGGGCAAACACAGAUGCAUAUGCUUGUCAUUAUUAUAACCUAACUAAUGAAGAUAUAGUUACAUGCAUAAGCAACCAUGAUGUGGCGUGUUAGAAACACAGAGAUUCAAUGGGGUGGCCGGCUUGGAGUAUGAAGCUAAUUAAGAGGUAGGGUGUAGAGUUCGAGCAUCUGAGAAUGGGGAGGACCAAUUGGUAAAGGAAAUAUGCCCUAGAGGCAAUAAUAAAGUUAUUAUUUUAUAUUUCCUUAUAUCAUGAUAAAAUGUUAUUAUUCAUGCUAGAAUUGUAUUAUCCGGAAACUUGACACAUGUGUGAAUACAUAGACAAAACACAGUGUCCCUAGUAUGCCUCUAUUAGACUAGCUCGUUGACCAAAGAUGAUUAAGUUUCCUAGCCAUGGAUAUGAGUUGUCACUUGUUGAACGAGAUCACAUCAUUAGUGGAAUGAUGUGAUGGACAAGACCCAUCCAUUAGCUUAGCAUAAUGAUUGAUAACCUAUAAAUAUAGGGGAUCGCAACAGUUUUCGAGGGUAGAGUAUUCAACCCAAAUUUAUAGAUUCGACACAAGGGGAGCCAAAGAAUAUUUUAAGGUAUUAGCAGCUGAGUUGUCAAUUCAACUACACCUGGAGAUUAAUUAUCUACAGCGAAGUGAUUAGUAGCAUAGUAAUAUGAUAGUUUUGAUAAUAGCAGCAGUAGCAAUGGUAACGGUAACAGUGAUAGGCGUGAUUUUGUAGCAGUAACGAUAGCAGUAGCAAUAGUAACUUAGCAGAAACUAUAUAAGAUAAAUUCGUAGGCAUUGGAUCAGUGACUCGUUGGAUGAUAUUCAUCAUGAGACAGUCAUAACUGUUGGGGAACGUUGCAGAAAAUAAAAAAUUUCUACGCUUUCACCAAGAUCAAUCUAUGAGUUCAUCUAGCAAUGAGAGAGAGGAGUGCAUCUAUAUACCGUUGUAUAUCGCGAGCGGAAGCGUUCAAGAGAACGGGGUUGAGGGAGUCGUACUCGUCGUGAUCCAAAUCACCGGAGAUCCUAGCGCCGAACGGGCGGCACCUCCGCGUUCAACACACGUACGGUCAGGGAGAAGUCUCCUCCUUCUUGAUCCAGCAAGGGGGAAGGAGAGGUUGAUGAAGAUCCAGAAGCACGACAGCGUGGUGGUGGAUGCAGCAGCGAUCUCGGCAGGGCUUCGCCAAGCGUCUGCGAGAGGGACAGGUGUAGCAGAGGGAGAGGGAGGCGCCAAGAGAAAGGGUGCGGCUGCCCUCCCUCCCCCCUCUUUAUAUAGGCCCCCUAGGGGGGGGCCGGCCCUAGGAGAUGGGAUCUCCAAGAGGGGGCGGCGGCCAGGGGGGGGUGGCUUGCCCCCCAAGGCAAGUGGAGGCGCCCCGACCCCUAGGGUUUCCCAACCCUAGGUGCAGGGGGGCCCAAGGGGGGGGGGCGCACCAGCCCACCAGGGGCUGGUUCCCCUCCCACUUCAGCCCAUGAGGCCCUCCGGGAUAGGUGGUCCCACCCGGUGGACCCCCGCGACCCUUCCGGUGGUCCCGGUACAACACCGGUAACCCCUGAAACUUUCUCGAUGGUCGAAACUUCACUUCCUAUAUAUAAUUCUUUACCUCCGGACCAUUUCGGAACUCCUCGUGAUGUCCGGGAUCUCAUCCGGGACUCCGAACAACUUUCGGUUUACUGCAUACUCAUAUCUCUACAAUCCUAGCGUCACCGAACCUUAAGUGUGUAGACCCUACGGGUUCGGGAGACAUGCAAACAUGACCGAGACACCUCUCCGGUCAAUAACCAACAGCAGGAUCUGGAUACCCAUGUUGGCUCCCACAUGCUCCUCAAUGAUCUCAUCGGAUGAACCACGAUGUCGAGGACUCAAGCAAUCCCGUAUACAAUUCCCUUUGUCAAUCGGUAUGUUACAUGCCCGAGAUUCGAUCGUCGGUAUCCCAAUACCUAGUUUAAUCUCGUUACCGGCAAGUCACUUUACUCGUACCGUAAUGCAUGAUCCCGUGACCAGACACUUGGUCACGUUGAGUUCAUUAUGAUGAUGCAUUACCGAGUGGGCCCAGAGAUACCUCUCCGUCAUACGUAGCGACAAAUCCCAGUCUCGAUUCGUGCCAACCCAACAGACACUUUCGGAGAUACUCGUUUAAGUGCACCUUUAUAGUCACCCAGUUACGUCGUGAAGUUUGGCACACCCAAAGAACUCCUAUGGUAUCCGGGAGUUGCACAAUAUCAUGGUCUAAGGAAAUGAUACUUGACAUUUGGAAAAGCUCUAGCUAAACGAACUACACGAUCUUUGAGCUAUGCUUAGGAUUGGGUCUUGUCCAUCACAUCAUUCUCCUAAUGAUGUGAUCCCGUUAUCAAUGACAUCCAAUGCCAAUAGUCAGGAAACCAUGACUAUAUGUUGAUCAACGAGCUAGUCAACUAGAGGCUCACUAGGGACACGUUGUGGUCUAUGUAUUCACACGUGUAUUACGAUUUCCGGAUAACACAAUUAUAGCAUGAAUAAUAGACUAUUACCAUGAACAAAGAAAUAUAAUAAUAACCAUUUUAUUAUUGCCUCUAGGGCAUAUUUCCAACAGUCUCCCACUUGCACUAGAGUCAGUCAUAUAGUUAAAUUGUGAUGAAUCGAACACCCAUGGAAUUCUGGUGUUGAUCAUGUUUUGCCCUAGGGAGAGGUUUAGUCAACGGAUCUGCUACAUUCAGGUCCGUAUGUACUUUACAAAUAUCUAUGUCUCCAUCUUGAACAUUUUCACGGAUGGAGUUGAAGCGACGCUUGAUGUGCCUGGUCUUCUUGUGAAACCUGGGCUCCUUGGCAAGUGCAAUAGCUCCAGUGUUAUCACAGAAGAGUUUGAUCGGCCCCGACGCAUUGGGUAUAACUCCUAGGUCGGUGUUGAACUCCUUCACCCAGAUUGCUUCAUGCGCUGCCUCCGAGGCUGCCAUGUACUCUGCUUCACAUGUAGAUCCCACCAUGACACUUUGCUUGCAACUGCACCAGCUUACUGUCCCAUCAUUCAAAAUAUACACGUAUCCGGUUUGUGACUUAGAGUCAUCCAGAUCUGUGUCGAAGCUAGCGUCGACGUAACCCUUUACGACGAGCUCUUCGUCACCUCCAUAAACGAGAAACAUAUUCUUAGUCCUUUUCAGGUACUUUAGGAUGUUCUUGACCACCGUCCAGUGUUCCUUGCCGGGAUUACUUUGGUACCUUCCUACCAAACUUACGGCAAGGUUUACAUCAGGUCUGGUACACAGCAUGGCAUACAUAAUAGACCCUAUGGCUGAGGCAUAGGGGAUGACACUCAUCUCUUCUUUAUCUUCUGCCGUGGUCGGGCAUUGAGCCGAGCUCAAUCUCACACCUUGCAAUACAGGCAAGAACCCUUUCUUGGACUGAUCCAUAUUGAACUUCUUCAAUAUCUUAUCAAGGUAUGUGCUUUGCGGAAGACCUAUGAGGCAUCUCGAUCUAUCCCUAUAGAUCUUGAUGCCUAAUAUGUAAGCAGCUUCUCCAAGGUCCUUCAUUGAAAAACACUUAUUCAAGUAGGCCUUAAUGCUGUCCAAGAGUUCUAUAUCAUUUCCCAUCAAAAGUAUGUCAUCUACAUAUAAUAUGAGCAAUGCUACAGAGCUCCCACUCACUUUCUUGUAAACGCAGGCUUCUCCAUAAGUCUGCAUAAACCCAAAUGCUUUGAUCAUCUCAUCAAAGCGAAUGUUCCAACUCCGAGAUGCUUGCACCAGCCCAUAAAUGGAUCGCUGGAGCUUGCAUACCUUGUUAGCAUUCUCAGGGUCGACAAAACCUUCCGGCUGCAUCAUAUACAGUUCUUCCUUAAGAUGACCGUUAAGGAAUGCCGUUUUGACGUCCAUUUGCCAUAUCUCGUAAUCAUAGUAUGCGGCAAUUGCUAACAUGAUUCGGACGGACUUUAGCUUCGCUACGGGAGAGAAUGUCUCAUCUAGUCAACCCCUUGAACUUGCCGAUAACCCUUAGCGACAAGUCGAGCUUUAUAGAUGGUAACAUUACCAUCCGCGUCCGUCUUCUUCUUAAAGAUCCAUUUGUUUUCUAUCGCUCGCCGAUCAUCGGGCAAGUCUGUCAAAGUCCAUACUUUGUUUUCAUACAUGGAUCCUAUCUCGGAUUGCAUGGCUUCAAGCCAUUUGUUGGAAUCUGGGCCCGCCAUCGCUUCUUCAUAGUUCGAAGGUUCACCGUUGUUUAACAACAUGAUUUCCAGGACAGGGUUGCCAUACCACUCUGGUGUGUAACGUGUCCUCGUGGACCUCAGAAGUUCAGUAGUAACUUGAUUUGAAGUACCUUGAUCAUCAUCAUUAACUUCCUCUUCAGUUGGUGCUGGCACCACAUGAACAUCUUCCUGAGCUACGCUAGUCACCGGUUCAAGAGGUAGUACUUCAUCAAGUUCCACUUUCCUCCCACUUACUUCUCUCGAGAGAAACUCUUUCUCUAGAAAGGACCCGUUCUUCGCAACAAAUAUCUUGCCUUCGAUCUGAGGUAGAAGGUAUACCCAAUGGUUUCCUUAGGGUAUCCUAUGAAGACGCAUUUUUCCGACUUGGGUUCGAGCUUUUCAGGUUGAAGUUUCUUGACAUAAGCAUCGCAUCCCCAAACUUUUAGAAACGACAGCUUAGGUUUCUUCCCAAACCAUAAUUCAUACGGUGUCGUCUCAACUGAUUUAGAUGGUGCCCUAUUUAAAGUGAAUGUAGCUGUCUCUAGAGCGUAUCCCCAAAAAGAUAGAGGUAAAUCGGUAAGAGACAUCAUAGAUCGCACCAUAUCCAAUAAAAUGUGAUUACGAUGUUCGGACACACCAUUACGCUAAGGUGUUCCAGGCGGCAUGAGUUGUGAAACGAUUCCACACUUCCUUAAGUGCAUACCAAUUUCGUGACUUAAAUAUUCUCCUCCACGAUCUGAUCGUAGGAACUUUAUCUUUCGAUCACGUUGAUUCUCUACCUCAUUCUGAAAUUCCUUGAACUUUUCAAAGGUCUCAGACUUGUGUUUCAUCAAGUAGACAUACCCAUAUCUACUCAAGUCGUCACUGAGAGUGAGAACAUAACGAUAUCCUCCGCGAGCCUCAACGCUCAUUGGACCGCACACAUCAGUAUGUAUGAUUUCCAAUAAGUUUGUUGCUCGCUCCAUUGUUCCGGAGAAUGGAGUCUUGGUCAUUUUGCCCAUGAGGCAUGGUUCACGUGUGUCAAAUGAUUCAUAAUUGAGAGACUCUAAAAGUCCAUCAGCAUGGAGCUUCUUCAUGCGCUUGACAGCAAUGUGACCAAGGCGGCAGUGCCACAAGUAUGUGGGACUAUCGUUACCAACUUUACAUAUUUUGGUAUUGACACUAUGAAUGUGUGUAACAUCACGUUCGAGAUUCAUUAAGAAUAAACCAUUGACCAUCGGGGCAUGACCAUAAAACAUAUCUCUCAUAUAAAUAGAACAACCAUUAUUCUCGGAUUUAAAUGAGUAGCCAUCUCGUAUUAAACGAGAUCCAGAUACAAUGUUCAUGCUCAUACUUGGAACUAAAUAACAAUUAUUGAGGUUUAAAACUAAUCCCGUAGGUAAAUGUAGAGGUAGCGUGCCGACGGCGAUCACAUCGACCUUGGAACCAUUCCCGACGCGCAUCGUCACCUCGUCCUUCGCCAAUCUCCGUUUAUUUCGCAGUUCCUUCUUUGAGUUACAAAUAUGAGCAACCGCACCGGUAUCAAAUACCCAGGAGCUACUACGAGUACUGGUAAGGUACACGUCAAUUACAUGUAUAUCACAUAUACCUUUAGUGUUGCCGGCCUUCUUGUCCGCUAAGUACUUGGGGCAGUUCCGCUUCUAGUGACCACUUCCCUUGCAAUAAAAGCACUCAGUCUCAGGCUUGGGUCCAUUCUUUGACUUCUUCCUGGCAAUUGGCUUAUCGGGCGCGGCAACUCCCUUGCCGUCCUUCUUGAAGUUCUUCUUACCCUUGCCUUUCUUGAACUUAGUGGUUUUAUUCACCAUCAACACUUGAUGUUCUUUCUUGAUCUCUACCUCCGCUGAUUUCAGCAUUGCAUAUACCUCAGGAAUGGUCUUUUCCAUCCCCUGCAUAUUGAAGUUCAUCACAAAGCUCUUGUAGCUCGGUGGAAGCGACUGGAGGAUUCUGUCAAUAACCGCGUCAUCCGGGAGAUUAACUCCCAGCUGAGUCAAGCGGUUGUGCAACCCAGACAUCUUGAGUAUGUGCUCACUAACACAACUAUUUUACUCCAUCUUACAGCUGAAGAACUUGUCGGAGACUUCAUAUCUCUCGACCCGGGCAUGAGCUUGGAAAACCAUUUUCAGCUCUUUGAACAUCUCAUAUGCUCCGUGUUGCUCAAAACGCUUUUGGAGCCCCGGUUCUAAGCUGUAAAGCAUGCCGCACUGAAUGAGGGAGUAAUCAUCAGCACGAGACUGCCAAGCGUACAUAACGUCUUGGUUCUCUGGGAUGGGUGCUUCACCUAGCGGUGCUUCUAGGACAUAAUCUUUCUUGGCAGCUAUGAGGAUGAUCCUUAGGUUCCGGACCCAGUCCGUAUAGUUGCUGCCAUCAUCUUUCAGCUUGGUUUUCUCUAAGAACGCGUUGAAGUUGAGGGUAACGUGGGCCAUUUGAUGUACAAGACAUAUUGUAAAGAUUUUAGACUAAGUUCAUGAUAAUUAAGUUCAUCUAAUCAAAUUAUUUAAUGAUCCGAAUCGACUAGGCCGUGUCCGAUCAUCACGUGAGACGGACUAGUCAUCGUCGAUGAACAUCUCCAUGUUGAUCGUAUCUUCCAUACGACUCAUGUUCGACCUUUCGGUCUCUUGUGUUCUGAGGCCAUGUAUGUACAUGCUAGGCUCGUCAAGUUAACCUAAGUGUUUAUGCGUGUGUAAAUCUGUCUUACACCCGUUGUAUGUGAACGUUAGAAUCUAUCACACCCGAUCAUCACGUGGUGCUUCGAAACAACGAACUUUCGCAACGGCGCACAGUUAGGGGGAACACUUUGUUGAAAUUAUUAUGAGGGAUCAUCUUAUUUACUACCAUCGUUCUAAGUAAACAAGAUGCAAAAACAUGAUAAACAUAAUAUGCAAUCAAAUAGUAGUGACAUGAUAUGGCCAAUAUCAUAUAGCUCCUUUGAUCUCCAUCUUCGGGGCUCCACAUCUUCGUCACCGGCAUGACACCAUGAUCUCCAUCAUCAUGAUCUCCAUCAUUGUGUCUCCAUGGGGUUGCUCGCCAACUAUUACUUAUACUACUAUGGCUAACGGUUUAGCAAUAAAGUAAAGUAAUUACAUGGCGUUAAAUCAUUGACACGCAGGUCAUACAAUAAUUAAGACAACUCCUAUGGCUCCUGUCGGUUGUCAUACUCAUCGACAUGCAAGUCGUGAUUCCUAUUACAAGAACAUGAUCUCAUACAUCACAUAUAUAUCAUUCAUCAUUCAUCACAACUUUUGGCCAUAUCACAUCACACUCACAUGCUGCAAAAACAAGUUAGACGUCCUGUAAUUGUUGUUGCAUGUGUUACGUGGCUGGAAUAGGGUUCUAGCAAGAACGUUUUCUUACCUACGUGAAAGCCACAACGUGAUUUGUCAACUUCUAUUUACCCUUCAUAAGGACCCUUUUCAUCGAAUCCGCUCCAACUAAAGUGGGAGAGACAGACACCCGCUAGCCACCUUAUGCAACUAGUGCAUGUCAGUCCGUGGAACCUGUCUCACGUAAGCGUACGUGUAAGGUCGGUCCGGGCCGCUUCAUCCCACAAUACCGCUGAAGCAAAAUAAGACUAGUAGUGGCAAGAAAGUUGACAACAUCUACGCCCACAACACAUUUGUGUUCUACUCGUGCAAAGAGAACUACGCAUAGACCUAGCUCAUGAUGCCACUGUUGGGGAACGUUGCAGAAAAUAAACAUUUUCUAUGCUUUCACCAAGAUCAAUCUAUGAGUUCAUCGAGCAACGAGAGAGAGGAGUGCAUCUACAUACCAUUGUAGAUCGCGAGCGGAAGCGUUCAAGAGAACGGGGUUAAGAGAGUCGUACUCGUCGUGAUCCAAAUCACCGGAGAUCCUAGCGCCGAACGGACGGCACCUCCGCGUUCAACACACGUACGGUUAGGGAGACGUCUCCUCCUUCUUGAUCCAUCAAGGGGGAAGGAGAGAUUGAUGAAGAUCCAGGAGCACGAUGGCGUGGUGGUGGAUGCAGCAGCGAUCUCGGCAGGGCUUCGCCAAGCGUCUGCGAGAGGGAGAGGUGUAGCAGAGGGAGAGGGAGGCGCCAAGAGCAAGGGUGCGGCUGCCCUCGCUCCCCCCCUCUUUAUAUAGGCCCCCUAGGGGGGGCACCGGCCCUAGGAUAUGGGAUCUCCAAGGGAGGGUGGCGGCCAGGGGGGUGGCUUACCCCCCCCCCCCAAGGCAAGUGGAGGCGCCCCCACCCCUAGGGUUUCCCAACCCUAGGCGCAGGGGGGCCCAAGGGGGGGCGCACCAGCCCACCAGGGGCUGGUUCCCCUCCCACUUCAUCCCAUGGGGCCCUCCGGGAUAGGUGGCCCCACCCGGUGGACCCCCGCGACCCUUCCGGUGGUCCCGGUACAACACCGAUAACCCCCGAAACUUUCUCGAUGGCCAAAACUUCACUUCCUAUAUAUAAUUCUUUACCUCCGGACCAUUCCGGAACUCCUCGUGACGUCCGGGAUCUCAUCCGGGACUCCGAACAACUUUCGGUUUACCGCAUACUCAUAUCUCUACAACCCUAGCGUCACCGAACCUUAAGUGUGUAGACCCUACGAGUUCGGGAGACAUGCAGACAUGACCGAGACACCUCUCCGGUCAAUAACCAACAGCGGGAUCUGGAUACCCAUGUUGGCUCCCACAUGCUCCUCGAUGAUCUCAUCGGAUGAACCACGAUGUCGAGGACUCAAGCAAUCCCGUAUACAAUUCCCUUUGUCAAUCGGUACGUUACAUGCCCGAGAUUCGACCGUCGGUAUCCCAAUACCUCGUUUAAUCUCGUUACCGGUAAGUCACUUUACUCGUACCGUAAUGCAUGAUCCUGUGACCAGACACUUGGUCACAUUGAGCUCAUUAUGAUGAUGCAUUACCGAGUGGGCCCAGAGAUACCUCUCAGUCAUACGGAGCGACAAAUCCCAGUCUCGAUUCGUGCCAACCCAACAGACACUUUCGGAGAUACCCAUAGUGCACCUUUAUAGUCACCCAGUUACGUUGUGACGUUUGGCACACCCAAAGCACUCCUACGGUAUCCGGGAGUUGCACAAUCUCAUGGUCUAAGGAAAUGAUAUUUGACAUUUGGAAAAGCUCUAGCUAAACGAACUACACGAUCUUUGAGCUAUGCUUAGGAUUGGGUCUUGUCCAUCACAUCAUUCUCCUAAUGAUGUGAUCCCGCUAUCAAUGACAUCCAAUGCCCAUAGUCAGGAAACCAUGACUAUCUGUUGAUCAACGAGCUAGUCAACUAGAGGCUCACUAGGGACACGUCGUGGUCUAUGUAUUCACACGUGUAUUAUGAUUUCCGGAUAACACAAUUAUAGCAUGAAUAAUAGACUAUUACCAUGAACAAAGAAAUAUAAUAAUAACCAUUUUAUUAUUGCCUCUAGGGCAUAUUUCCAACAAUAACCUAGGGCGAUGCGGCACUAGCUCCAGUUCAUAAAUAUAAUGUAGGCACAUAUUCCAUAAAUAGUCAUACAUGCUUAUGGAAAGAACUUGCAUGACAUCUUUUGUCCUACCCUCCUGUGGCAGCGGGGUCCUAUAAGAAACUAAGGGAUAUUAAGGCCUCCUUUUAAUAGAGAACCGGAACAAAGCAUUAGCACACGAUGAAUACAUGAACUCCUCAAACUACGGUCAUCACCGGGAGUGGUCCCAACUAUUGUUACUCCGGGGUUGUCGGAUCAUAACACGUAGUAGGUGACUACAACUUGCAAGAUCGGAUCUAGAACAUGGAUAUAAUGGUGAUAACAUAAACGGUUCAGAUCUGAAAUCAUGGCACCCGGUCCCAAAGUGACAAGCAUUUAAGCAUGGCAAAGUCAUAGAAACAUUAAUCUCAGAACAUAGUGGAUACUAGGGAUCAUGCCCUAACAAAACUAACUCGAUUACAUGAUGAAUCUCAUCCAACUCCUCACCGACCAGCGAGCCUACGAAGGAAUUACUCACUCGCGGUGGGGAGCAUCAUGGAAUUGGCGAUGGAGAUGUGUUGGUGAUGACGAAGAUCGAAGAUCCCCCUCUCCGGAGCCCCAAACGGACUCCAGAUCUAGUCUCCCGAUGAAGAACAUGAGAUGGCGGCGGCUCCGUCUCGUGAAACACGAUAAUUCUUUCUCCCUGAUUUUUUUCUAGAAUAAUGUGAUUUUGUAGCGUCGGUUUCAGGUCAGCGGGGCCACCAGGUGGGCAGCACCCACCGAGGCACGCCUGGGGGGCAGGCGCACCCUGGUGGGUUGUGCCCACCCAGGUGCCCCCCCUCAGGUGGCUCUUGGCUCUAGAAAUUCUCUUUAUUGGUAUAAAAAAUCCUCCCAAAUUUUCGUUCCAUUCCGAGAACUUCUAUUUCUGCACAAAAACAAAACCAUGGUAGUUCUACUGAAAAUAGCGUUAGUCCAGGGUUAGUUUCAUUCAAAUCAUGCAAAUUAGAGUCCAAAACAAGAUGAAAAGCGUUAGGAAAAGUAGAUAUGUUGGAUACGUAUCAACUCCCCCAAGCUUAAACCUUUUCUUGUCCCCAAGCAAUUCAGUUGAUAAACUGAAAGUGAAAAAGAAAAACGUUUAUGAACCACUUUUGCUCUUGUUUCAUAAAUAGGCUUAAACAACACCCAUGUUUUCAGCAAAGAUUAUAACUAACCAUGUCGAUAAUAAAUCUUAAAAAUUAUAUUAACUCAUAUGUCAUAUCAAUGACAUAAUCAACUAGAGAGCAAUAAUAAAACAUCUCAAGCAGCAACAUGUUGUCAAAACAACCAUGAUACAAUAUGACAAUAGUGGUAUCUCGCUAGCCCUUUCUGAGACCGUAAAACAUAAAUGUAGAGCACCCUCAAAGUUCAAGUAACGACUAAACAUUUUAAUUCAUGGUAGAAAAGAUCCAGUCAUUAUGCACCCAACAUUAGCUACACACGCUGCAUCAGCAUGACAUCAGUGCUCUUAGGUUCUAGCGCUUGUUUGAGAAGGUGAUGACACAACAUAAAAUUAGUCCCUUCACACAGGGAAGCAGUGAUUUGCAGAGGUGCCAGUGAAGGAAAUAUGCCCUAGAGGCAAUAAUAAAGUUAUUACUUAUUUCCUUAUUUCAUGAUAAAUGAUUAUUAUUCAUGCGAGAAUUGUAUUAACUAGAAAUUUAGUACAUGUGUGAAUAAAUAGACAAACAGAGUGUCACUAGUAUGCCUCUACUUGACUAGCUCGUUGAAUCAAAGAUGGUUAAGUUUCCUAGCCAUAGACAUGAGUUGUCAUUUGAUUAACGGGAUCACAUCAUUAGAGAAUGAUGUGAUUGACUUGACCCAUUCCGUUAGCUUAGCACUUGAUUGUUUAGUAUAUUGCUAUUGCUUUCUUCAUGACUUAUACAUGUUCCUAUGACUAUGAGAUUAUGCAACUCCCGAAUACCGGAGGAAACUUUGUGUGCUACCGAACGUCACAAUGUAACUGGGUGAUUAUAAAGGUUCUCUACAGGUGUCUCCAAAGGUACUUGUUGAGUU